rnacentral:lncRNA from 1 species
UCCAAAAUGUGCAGGGUGUGCUUGGAAUCAAGGUGAAGGUCAUGCUUGACUGGGACCCUAAGGGAAUAAAUGGACCUAAGACACCUUUGCCUGAUGUUGUCAUCAUCCAUGCUCCCAAGGAGGAGGACGUCAACUCUGCACCAGCUCAGGUUGCUGCUCCGGCUGCUCUUGCACCAGAAGCUCCCCUCACUGCCGUAGACUUCCCUGAGAUGAUCCCAGUCGCCUAGAAGAAAAACUCUUUUUUUUACUAGUACUAUGUGAUUUCGCCCUUAUAACUUUUCUGCUUUUUGACAGUUUAUAGUUUAUCGUUAUCUCAUCUUCGAAUCGGACACCUUUCUUCAAAUACUGUUUCCAAAAUUAUUCCAUUUCUUAUUAAGUUUAGCUUUUCUGAAAAAAAAAACCUCAAUGUGGUUUUGUUUUACAAAUUAAUUCGCUAACUCAAAAAUCUAAGGAUCAAUUUUUCAAGUGUUAGUCAAACCGCAAUAUAACCCUCAGUUGUAUAUAUGUGUAUUUGACUGUGUAUAAUUUUAACAUUUUUCAAUACUACGUCGUUUUGGCGCUAAUUUUUUAAUGAAAAAAAAAUUGUUAAACUCGGGGUUUGAAACUUGAACUUUAAACACUAUGUACAUGCUAUAUAACCAUCUUGGCCAACAAAUAUAUUUAUUUACUUAACAAACGCAAUUAUAUAGAUUUCUAAAAAUUCAUUCUGAAAUGACCUUGUUUCUUCUUCUUCUCUUGGACAUGGGAGCUUGCGUAAAUGCGCAAUGACUUCUUCUUUUCUUGGAUAUGGAAGCUUGCGUAAAUGCGCAAUGAAGAUAGGGUGAUCCUUUUAUUGUUACUCAAGCAUUUAUUUUUUCGAUUUUCUUUACUUAUAGUUAUUAUCUCACAUGUUUUGAACAACAAUCGGGAUGAGAUUCACGUUUCCGGCUCAUCUCCGCAUUCUUCUUCGAAUAUUAUUGUGGCCAGAGGAAAGAAGAAAGAUAUGAUGCGCUCCCAUAGCGAUAGAAAAAAAGAAAUAUAUGUUAGUGCUUUUAUGGAUCACCCCACUUUCAUUAUGCAUUUACGCAAGCUUCCAUGUCCAAGGGAAGAAGAAGAAACAAUGACAUUUCGGAAUGAAUUUAGAAAUCUAUAUAAUUGUGUUUGUUAAGUAAACAAAUAUAUCUAUUGACGGAGAUGGUUAUGUAGCAUGCACAUAGUGUUUAAAGUUCAAGGUUCAAACCGUGUGUUCAAUAAAUUUUUUCAUUAAAAACUUAGUGUCAAAACGACGUAGUAUUGAAAAAUGUUAAAAUUAUACACAGUCAAAAACACAUAUAUACGGCCGAAGGUUAUAUUGCGGUUUGACUGGCACUUGGAGGAUUGACCCGUGAGUUUUGGAGUUCGCAGAUGAAUUUGCAAAAAAAAAACACAUUAAGGAUUUUUUUUGCAGAAAACCCUUUAAGUUUAUUGCUUUAAUAAACUUCGAAAGUAACUACGACAUUCGUUACUUUCACCCUACAAACAGUGUCGGUAUAAUGGAAAGUAACUACUGCAUUGUUUUUCAGACACGCAUUUCUUCGAAUCAUUGAUUCGUUUAGUUAAGGUGGCCCACAAGAUUUCAUAAUAGAAGGAAGAAAGAUGUCAUUCAAUUCCCCAACCAAUAAUUGAUGCUUCUUUUUCAAGAAACAAAACAAAUCUUUCAUCUUUAUAAACCUGUCAUCACCAUUCAUUGCCGAUAAGAAGAUAACUGGAGAGAGAGAUGGGUUGUAUUCACUUCGAAUCAGCAGAUCAACGGACACUUUCUGUCCAAGAGAAACUAAACGACAAAACAUCUAGCACAGUCUUGCAAGAACACGAGGAGCAAGGAGGAAUCCAAGAAGCUUGGUCGGAGAUCAAGAACCGCGGUGAAAACGUCGGAGGUUACUUAGCCGGUGAGAGUAGACACAAGCUUGAGAAGAAAAAGAGCCAAGUGUUGCUGGAAGGUUACGUGGAGGCUCAAGAUGAUCAAGAAGAUCUUACGAGAGCCAAGAGCUUGACGGAUGACGAUCUCGAGGAGCUAAAAGGUUGUUUAGACCUAGGGUUUGGGUUUAGCUACGACGAGAUCCCUGAGCUCUGCAACACUUUGCCUGCUUUAGAGCUAUGUUACUCCAUGUCCCAGAAGUUCUUAGAUGAUAAGCUAAACCACCAAGAGGACUCUCCGCGGCCGCCACCGACCGCGACCAGUCCAGUUGCGAACUGGAAGAUCUCUAGCCCUGGUAAUGAAUCUCUCGAGUUAGAUACAUAGUUUCAGUGUUUUAGCUUUGUUUGCUCAAUUGAAUUUGUUUGAAGAACAUUUUGAUGAACCAUUUCUUGAUGGUUUUGCUUUGGAUUCAGGUGAUAAUCCAGAUGAUGUAAAAGCUAGACUCAAGUACUGGGCACAAACCGUAGCUUGCACUGUCCGUUUGUGUAGCUGAACAAGAAUCAUCAUCAUCAUCUUGUCUGACCAUAUUUGGUUGAACCAGAAACAUCUACUGCUCUUUUUUGCACGAAUGAAGUCUCUGCCACUUUUAGCUGAGAAUAGACUUGCAAUGUGUCCAUGGAGAAACUGGUUUGGCUUUACUUUUUAACUCUGUGUCUAUGUUGUAACAUCCUUAGCCUAAUGUUUGUAAUAAAAAAUUGGAUAAUAAAUGUGUCACUAAAUAAAACUUUCAAAUUAUCACCCUGAAUAGUCUCUGCGUAUUAAGUUAAAGUACAAUAUUAAGGGUUGAUUUAGCAGGCAGAGAUUUAGAGACAAAUCUCUCAACGCUUUUAAAGUUCUGUUUUUUUUUUUGCGUAACUAAUCUAACGACAGUGAUCUUCUGUUUGCUUUCAUGAUCUUGACCUGUCUUGCUUUUAUAUCAUUGAUAAUUACGCUUAGAUGACGGUAAAGCUCGUGACGUUGCUUCAGUAUUACAAGAUGUGAAAGAAAGGAAGAAAGAAAGAACGUGUCUUUACUUGUGAUUCUUUUAUCUUUUUUCUUUCCGGUUUGUAGGAAAGAAUCAGAAACUAUGUAUGUGGUCAUAAGUUGUGAACACGCUUUAACGUGUCGUGUACGAUAGGGCAACAUGAGGACAAGAUCCUUUCACGUGUUGUGUUACGUAUCCAACUGUACUAUUAAGCCAAUCGAAUUUAUGACUCGACAUCAUGUCUUUUAUAAAGUUUUGAGCGUUAAAACGAGUCACGUGAUAAAUAUGAUUUAUUCAUCAAUGAAACGACGUGUCACCAACGAGAAGACACCAUGUUUAUUAAAAAAGCAGAUUCAGAGAAUAAGAGUUUGCGACCGGGAGCUUGUGGUGAACUGGUAAGGGGAAAGGUUUGGGAUGUCACCACAUUUUAAGUUCGAUCCACCUACCAUACGAAACUAAGUCAUAUUUUCCUGGUCACUUACACGGAUAUAGGCUAUUGCAUUUCGGCCCAUUUGAAUAUCCGGGAGAGAGUCUAUCCGUGGACUGCACCUCCCACCCGGGGGUUAGGUCUGUGUCUUUAAUAGACCCGAGUUUAACCAUUUUAGUUUACAAAAAAAAAAAAAAAAAAGAGAAUAAGAGUUUGCAACAUUGUGGGAUUCUUAAGAACAAAACAAAGAUUUAGAUAAAACGGUUCUUUAAACUUGUGAUGAUGAUCAAGGUGAAGCCUGUCCCAACAGAGAUUGAAUGUCUUUCUGCACAAAUCCAAAAAGGCCGGUUAUGUGUGAUGAAAAUGUGAGGAUUCUGGUUUAGCCUGGUUUACAUACCUCGAAUUGAAGAGGAGAGGUUCUAGGAGAAUAUCUCUGGGAGACUUUGCCGUCAGGAGAAACCAAGAAAUUUGUGAAGUUCCAUUUGAUUGCGUCAAUAAGCAAACCUCCUUAUAUAUUAAAACAUAAAUCGCAAUUUUGAUUCAUGUCCGAUUUUUUAAAAAAUUGACCUAAUGGACCUAUUCAUAAAAAAAUCAUAUUACAUUUAAUCUCUAAUCUUAUCAUUUAAAUUUUGGGCAUACCAGAAAAUUUUUUGGUAGGCCCAAAAUUUUAUUGGACUAUCAAUAGUUGGAUUUAAAGAAUAGAUGAUCUAUUAGAUUUAUAGAUAGUAUAAAUUAAAUAGAUAUAAUUUAAUGUUGUAAUACUAUACCUCUAUAUGUUAAAUAUUUAAAUAUUUGUCGAUGUUAACUUUUAAAAUUAUAAAUAUUUUUUUUGAAAAUAACAAAAAUCAUAUUAUCUAACAAUGAUUAAUCUUUACUACCUUAAACCAAUGAAAACAAAUUUUAAGCUAUAUAGUUUAUUUUAAAAAUUAAACAAAAACUAAAUGUUUAAUUAUUUACUCGAUAAUAUAAAUCUAUGAAGCGAAAAGUUUAAUUUUUAAAAAAAUUUCUAAAUUUGUGAAAUGUUACAAUAUCUUUGAAUAUGACGAUAAAACAAUAUUUUACUAAUCUUUAUAUAUAUAGUUACGAUUUUAAUAAUGAAAUAAUAAUCCAAAAAAAAAUAUAUAAAAAAAGAUACAAAUGCAUGUGAAAGUUUAAAACAAUAUAUUCAAUGAAAAAAAUAUACCGUAAACUUAUUAUGUUUUAAAAAUUGAUAGACACAUAUAUUAUAAUAUAUACUAAUUUAUAAUUGAAAACAAAAUAUUCAUAUAAAAUUAAAACAAAAAUCCGCGCGGUUGCGCGGGUCGAGAUCUAGUGUUUAUUAAAAAAGCAGAUUCAGAGAAUAAGAGUUUGCAACAUUGUGGGAUUCUUAAGAACAAAACAAAGAUUUAGAUAAAACGAUUUUUUAAACUUGUGAUGAUGAUCAAGAUGAAGCCUGUCCCAACAGAGAUUGAAUGUCUUUCUGCACAAAUCCAAAAAGGCCGGUUAUGUGUGAUGAAAAUGUGAGGAUUCUGGUUUAGCCUGGUUUACAUACCUCGAAUUGAAGAGGAGAGGUUCUAGGAGAAUAUCUCUGGGAGACUUUGCCGUCAGGAGAAACCAAGAACUUUGUGAAGUUCCAUUUGAUUGCGUCAAUAAGCAAACCUCCUUUCUCUGCUUUCAAGUAUUUGUAUAAUGGCGCCGUGUUCUUUCCGUUCACAUCCACCUACAUUGCCAUCAAGUAUAUUUGUAUAAUACCUAAUCUUUUUUCACUGCAAGCUUGGUGUUAAACAAAAAAAAACUAAUUUUUUCACUAUAUAAAAUUUGGCUUGAUUUGAAUGUUGUUGUAGAAGGAUUGCAGCUUGGUAAUUUUGAUUAGAGGGUGAUUAGUAGAGGUUGUAACAUAUUUAAAUUUGAUAAAGACAUAAAACAAGUACCUUGUCAAAGAUGGGGAACUCAGCUUUGAACUUUGUGCAGACAGUUUGUUGGAUCUCUUCAUUGUUUCCUGGUUCUUGUCCCAAGAACUGAUUGCACGGAAACGCUAAAAUCUCCAACCCUAAUGUUUUUUUUUGAAGUUUACUAAAGUUAUACUAGUAUUUUACAAUUAAAAUUAUGAAAACCAGAUUUUGUAUUUAUAUGGGUAACAACAGACCUUGGUCCUUGUAUUUAUCGUACAGAACAUUCAGUUCCUUGUAGUUUGCAUCCGUCAGACCACUGCAGUAAUAAGAACUUUAGCUUAGUUUCUGCUUUUUAAAACAUGUUAUAGUUAGAAAUAUGAAUAAAAAUCAAGCAAACUAAAACUGAACAAAAAUAUUACUAGAAUCUUUCAUGUUCUUACAUAAACAAACCAAACAUUGUGGUAAACCGAAGCUGCAAAAGUACGGAGUGGUACUAAUCAAACCAAACCGAGUUGAUCAAUUACUAAUUCUGUAUUACAAGAUCUUUUGUUGUUUCAUUAUUCAUUCAUAUCUUGAGAAAUUAGUCAAACAAUAGAGACCUUUUAACAUAAUUCUUGUUCAAAUCAGUGAGAAAAAAUAAAAAUAAAUAAUGGGUGCUUACCAUUUGGAGGCAACGUUUACAAUCAAAAGAGUUUUGCCUUUGAAUUGGCUCAAACUCACAUCUUUACCUUCAAUAUCCUGCCAUGUUCAACAAAACAAAACAUAAACAUAUAUGCUUCAUUCGAAAACAUUCGUCUCUCCAAAUUUAAGUACUGUAUAGAUCAUUCCUCUCAAACCAUCCACAAAUGUAUUAUGUAAUCAUUUUGACCCUCAAGUGGUAAAUAUUUCAAUCCUCACACAAAUUUCAGGGCUAGUCAUGUAUAUAUUUCUUAAAUAACCUUGUUUUUCUUCUUCUGUUUUUCUACUUUGUCUAAUAUUCAUAUGCAUGUACAGAUUGAAAAAUAUAUAUUUAUAUGAACGUCUCAAGAGAUAGAGAGAGAACAUUGGAAGUUCCGUUGAUCAAAAUGAAAUUAUUUUCUUAUUUUUGGGUCUUUUACUUGUUUAUAUGAAUCAAGAAUCUAAGAUGAACAAUAAUAAGAAGCCAUACCUUAACGGUGAAGUCGUAGAUAGACUGUGGAGAUUCCUCCGCCAUUUUGGUCUCUCUAUUUUUCUCUUUGUUUUUAGCUUUGAAGAAAGUGAAGAAAUAUAAAUAUUUUCAACAUAUAUAUAUCUUUAUUGGUAGAGAUAUGUGCAAGAAUAAGACGCUCCAAAUGAGAAAUCUCUUGUGAGGAAUGGUGGUGGGGGGUAGCCAUCCGUGAUUUCAUAUUUAAUGUUUCCCCAUCUUUUUUUUAUAUUUUUCCGUUUCUGUCUUUCGUUCAUUAUUGGGUACAUGUACAAAAUUAUAUUGUUUAGAUUAUAAAAGAAUAUGAUUGUUUUCUCAAUCAAAAAUAAAUAUAUAAGAAUUCUAUUUUUUUUAAGGUCUAAUUAUGAGCAUUUACACAAAAAAAAAUUCAUAUUAACCGAAUAGGAAACAAUCUUUAAAAAAACUAUCAAAUUGUCAUCUUAUAAAUGAGAUGUAAACUUCGUAUAUCUAAUUUCAAGAAAUAAAUAUUUUAUCAGUGGUGCGUAAUCGAAAAAAAUUACUAAUAUGAUUCGCUCUCAGUCGUGGACUGAACGAUUUCGGUACCCAAAUUCUGAUCCGAUUUUGUUUACUUCUAGCUUGAUCAAAGUGGUAAGACCCUUGAUGUUAGGAAAACAUAUCUAGAACAUGAUUGUCUUUUAGGUGUUGCAUUUGUCACAAUAAUAACUUACUAGUAUAAGAUUAAGGUUAAAAAUACGUGUAUCGUGCACAAAAAAGGUAAAAAUACUUACUGUAUAUGAUUCCAUAAGAUAUAGAAUCUAGUUCUCUUUUUAAUUUAUCCAUGUUUAAUUAUUAGGUGUAAUCAUUAGAUUCCUAUCAACCGCUAAUUACAAUUAUAUUAGGUGUUUUACCCGAACAUGCGGGCAUAAUUUUCUUAUCAGUACUUAUAAGUUUAUGUCUUAUUAAUCUAAAACCAGCAUAAUAAGUUAUUAUUUAUGUUUUCAGAUGGUUAAAUCAAACAUCAAAAUAUUUAUAUAUGUAAAAUAUUUUUUUAUCAAAAUAUAUGCUUAUUAUUGUGUUAAAUUUUUUAAACACUCAUCCCUAAAAAUAGUUUAGAAAAUAUCUUUAUAUAAGUGUUUUUUGCUAACUAAUAUUUAAUUAUAAUUUGUUUUGUAUCUUAAUUUUUAACUUUUAUAAUAAAAAUAUUGUUUCUGAUAGUAACACAAUAUAUAAGAAUGUCUUAUUUUUUUAAUUUUUGAUAAUUUUAUUUUAUUACUCAAAAUCAAUUAUUUAAUAUUUAAUAUAACAUAUAAAUUUUGUAUGAUUGAAAUAAUAUAUAAACAUAUAAUAUAGAAUGUUUGUGUUAAAAAAAAUAUAAAUAUAGAAUGUCAUUGGAAAGAUACAUUAAAACUGAGCAGUUGGCAAAAUAACAAAAUAUUUUGAACACAAAAAAAAAUUGAACAUUAUACUAAUAUUUAUUUUAAGUAUGAAUAUAAUUAAAAAAAAUAUGUGUAUUUACUAUUAAACAACUACAAAUUUUAGAAACUUGUAUCAAUAUUCUCGGUGAAAGACGUUCGUGUAUGUAUUUUUUAAGUAUUUUUCAAAUAUACACUAAUAUAUUUUUGUGUUCACAUAUAAAAAAUAUUAAUAUAACAAUAUAUACCCAUUUGAAAGAUUAUUUAUAAUAAUGUUUUCAGAGAUAUUUAUUAAAGUACAUGAUAUAUUUGUUUUACACAUGUAUAAAAAAGUCAACCAACUUAAUUUGAAAUGAGAACAUAAGAAAUUCUCAAGGACAAACCCUUGCAAUUGCGAAAAAGAAAACAAUUGAAAUGGGUCGUGGAGGAAGAAGGCAAGGGAAGAGGAAGAUACGGUCGUGGAAAUCGUGGUCGACGAGGUGGCUUUGGGUAAUCUCGGUUUGUCGAUAUGAGUUUUCAUCUCACCACACCCACUGCUUUCCAUCUGAGAAAUUAUAUUUCUGUUAAAAAAAAUUCUAAAAUCUACCAAAUAGACUUGAAAAUUUUAGUAUGUUAGGUCGUUAUCAAGUAGGUGGACCGACUUAAUUGACAUUUGGAGUACAUCUAACCAUACAAGAGGAUAGAAACUUUUAAUAGUAUUGUCUUUAUUCAUUAUACAAAGAACAUUGAGAAGAUAAACGUGCCCACAAUGAACGGAUAUGGAGUCAAUUUAUUGAGAACAUUGUCUUUAUUCAACUUUUACGUAACGCAACAGGAGUUUGCAGUUGGUCGAUGCACAGAUAUUGUGUGAAUUUAAUGUCUUGCAUGUCUCGUUAUCUCAUUUUCCAAUAUAUAUAUAUGAUUUAUUUAUGCUUAUAAUUUAUUUUCCUACUAUUAAACAUUUCAAGACCUUUUUUUUUUUUUUUGUCAACAAACAUUUCAAGACCGAAACAAUUCUUUGAAGUCUGAACAAAUGUAACCUUUUAAAUAGUUAACAUAUUUUAUUAUUUGCAAAUAAACUAGUCUUACAACAAAAGUGAAAAGCAGACUGAUUAAACACAAUGCUCUGCGAUGGAAACAUGUUCCACACCAUUCAUGUGGUUGACGGGCUUGGUAAGAAUCGAGCAGCAAAAUUCACGAUUCCUCAAUACGAAUGCCGUGAAAAUCUCAGACGCACAAGUAUCUACAACGAGUUUCAGAUUCUGUCUAAACGCACAAGCAAGAAUCAUCCGAACCUGUUAUUGGUUCUAACGAUAAGAAACAAACCAUGGUGAUGGUUACUGGUGCUGGACUGCUGGAGCCGCAGUACCGGGACUGAGAAUAAUAAGAGCAGUACCGGGACUGAGAAUAAUAAGAGCAGUAGCAACUAAAAAUAAUUAAAUCCCAUUAAUUGAUAAAAAGUUCUAAAAAAUGUGUUUCAGAAGCAAUGAAGACCAGAAGGUUCAAACAUCACACCUUUUCUAACUACAUAUAUAGUUACAUUUACCAUUGGAGUACUUGCAGAUUUCUUAUAUGUAACGGCCGAAAUAUUAUGUAGUUAAAAUGAAGGCCAAAAGCCGGAGCUUCCCCUCAAGGCAGCCUUUGAGGUAUGAGAAAAGUCAGCUGUGGUUCUGAAGUCUAAAGAGAGCAACCAAGAUGAAAGUAACUCACGAGAAUGUUUCCAAAAGGAAUGGUAAAAAGGGUAGAUCGGUAUGGAAAGCUUCAUCUUCAAUAUCCCAAAACCGAUUUGUGACUUUAAUUCUCAAACCUUUCGACUUCCAAAAACUCUAGACUGGUCAGUUUCAUAAAAAAAAAGCCAUUUAUUUUCUUAACAGUCUAAAUUUUUGUUAGUUUGAAUCGUUGUUGUAGUAUCUUUCAACGAGUAAUAGGUAACAAAUAUUUUUAGCAGGCGAUACAUAUUAUUACAACAAGUUAUAAGAAACAAGUACUUAAGCAAGUCAGCCAAAUAGUAGAAAAAUAUUAAUAUUUGAUACUUGAUUUGAUAACGCCAAGCACUUGAUUUUUCAAACCAAGUACUAACGAGUAUAAAUCGGGUAGCAAGUUAGAAAUGGUAAAAUCAUAACAAAAAAAAGGAGAAGUAUAUAAACAUAUUAAUAAUUUAAUGUGAAUGUUAGAAAUAAUUUAUCUUGCGCAUGGAUGUUAACUAAUCACAGCCUUCAAAAAUAAAAUAAAAAAUAGAAAUAAAGAAAGAAAGCAAUGUAAAGUGUUAGGUACCAAGGUUUGAAUGUAUUCCAUCGUUUAAUAGAGAAAGCAGUGAAAAUAGUGUAGAAUGUGCUAGACAAAACAGUAUACAUUUAACUUUCAUUUAUUUACUCAGCCUAAAUUGGUUCCAUUUAACAUCUAUUAAUAUAUAGUAUCAUAUAUCUUAUAGUAUACUAUUAUGUAUUUAUACUAUAUAAAAAAAGUAUAGCACUAGACAAAACAGUAUAACACUAUUGUGUUUAUAGUUCGAGGGUAAAAACACGAAAAAGAGUGCUUCUGGUUAUUGACUUCAUUUUCCAGUUAGUAGUGCCAUAUUUAAGGCUUAUUGAGAAUUUGGUUAGUUGAUAAUUCACCCUUCAAUAAAUAUAUCGAAAACAAGAAGCGUUGACAAAAAUAAUACUACCUCCGUUUUCGAAAGUAGGAUUUUCUAGAUUUAUUUUUUGUUCCAAAAUGAUAGAUUUUCUAAAAAUUUAAGAUACUUUUAGUAGUUAAUGUUUAAAAAUUGUAUAUUUUUAAGAAACAUUAAUUGAAAAUAUUUGAAUUGGUUAAAUACUAUUAGUUGAUAUUUAUUAAAAAAUGUAUAAUAACAUAAAUAAUAAAUUUAAUUGUAAACAUUUAUUAUAUUUUUAAUAUGCAUAAAUAUUCAAGAAAAUCUUUUUUUUGGGGGAACAGAGGAGGUAGUGAAAAGAAAAGCUCUACAAUAAAUGAAGAUCCACUGCUUGAUUUUAAAGUCUUUAACCAACCAAACGUUGCUCAAAAAGAAAAAAGAAACCAACCAAACAGAAAAGAAGAAGAAGAAGCUCAUCUGCAAUAAAUAAGACAAUGAAACGUCAUAUGCAAGUUGGGUUAUUAUUACAUUCAUUUUCUCCAGGAGUUUACUAACGAUUCUGAGAAUGGCCAAGAAACAUUUCUUUCAGCCCCUUCUUCCUGGCUUCCACAGUCACUUGGUACUGUCUCUGUCUCUCUCUCUCUCCCUUCUUCUAUAUCUGUCUUGUCUCUUUUUAAGAAACCAAUUGAGAGAUGGUUUUGUAUUUUGCAUGUUGCUUCAGACAAUUCCUGUAGCCUUCUUCUCCAAGCAUAUACAAGGAAGGAAUGAUCAGAAGACUACGACGGAGCUUAGGUCAGACGCCGCGUCGGAGAAAACAUGGGAAGUGAAGACAGAAGAUGGUCGGAGACUCACUGAUGGUUGGAAAGAGUUCGCUCUUGCGCACGAUCUUCGAGUCGGUGACAUUCUCAUUUUCAGACAAGAGAAAGAUAUGACUUUCCACGUGACACUAUUUGGACCAAGUUGCUGUGAGAUUCAAUAUGACUCGUGUUUAGACGACAAGAACAACAUAGGUGAGUUAUUUUGUUCUGAGAACUAACAAAGUCUAAGAGCAUGUUUAUUAUAGGUCUCUUAGGUUGAGUUUUUUAGCGUAAUAUAAGAUACAGUUUUAGUUUUUUAGUUAAAAGCUUUUAGACUGUGUCUUAUAUUACGCUAAGAGCAUGAUUAUUGGAGGAUUCUUAAAGUGGGGUUCAUAGCGGAAUAUAAUAACUUGUCUCUUAACUUUUAAUUAAAAAAACUAAGAACCGGCUCUUAAAUAAGAGUUUUAAGAGACGGAUUCUUAUAUUCCGAUAAGAACUUCAUUCUAAGAACUUUCCAAUAAUCAUGAUCUAAAAGAUUCAACAUAAGAGACCUACAAUAAACAUGUUCUAAGCUUAUACGUUGAAGUAGUUUGACUUUUUGCAUGUUGAAGUAGUUUGACUAUAUGCAUGUUAGAUUUCUUAUUUUCUUCUUUUUUUUCAGGGAAGAUUAACUCUAAGAAGAAUAAUCCAAAAAGAGAAGCAGAGUGUUCUUCUUCUUCAGAUCCCUCUUGUUUCUUGGCCAAUGUCAUGCCUUCGACCCUACGCUAUGACUCACUGGUAUUCUACUCUUUAUACUUACUAGUAGGAUCUGUUAGUUUGAUCAAAAAAAGUCAUGUUGUAUAACUGUAAUGAAUUUUCCAGAAUCUUCCAAGGAGUUUUGUGAGGGCAAAUGGUCUAGAGACAAGAUGUGGAGAUAUUGUUCUGAUAAAUGGAAAAGGCAGAUCAUGGACUUUAUCUUUAAAACAAAGACAAUGUGGAAGAAGUUACAUCACACGAGGGUGGAGAAGUUUCUUUAGUGCCAAUGGACUCGAGGCUGGAGAUUCCUUCACUUUCAAACUCAUCAAAAGAGGUGGAACACUGGUUCUUCUACAUAAGUCUCCCUCCCACAGAGAAUCCAAAGAAAAUGAGGGCUCAGAAGCUGAUGAUGAAAUAGAGUCUCUUUCCACAGAAUCUGACAGCGAUGAAGAGAGCAACCAAGAUGAGAAAAAGCGUAUAUCAAUAUGGAAUGCUUCAUCUUCACCAUCCCUAAACAGAUUUGUGACACUAACUCUUAAACCGUACAAUGUCAUAAAGUGUGUACUGGUUAGUUUCAUCACUCAAGAGCCAAUAUUGUCUUUUUACAUUCUAUUGAGUUUGAUUUUUUUUUUUUUUUUUUUUUGCAGUAUCUUCCCAAACCCUUCACAGAUCUACAUGGCAUCACUGUGGGAACUAAAAUGAGUCUGGUGGAUAAACAAGGUGUAAAGUGGUGUACAAAACUGCGUUCUGAAAGUAAAAGAAUAAGAAUGGCAGGAGGAUGGAAGGAUUUCUUCAAAGCUAACUGUGUAAAGACAGGUGAAUCAAUCAAGUUGAAGCUGAUUUGGGAAGAAGACACAAGUUGUGUCCUUAAGUUCUGCUCCAAGGCGAAGCCAUAAAUUGAAAAACUAUUUCAGCUUGAUUUAGUGCCAAAAGACAAACUGAAACAAAUCAAUGUUGCUCUUUUUUUUUUUUAGGGUAAGAUUUAACAACGGUAUGCUUAGUUUGUAUGUUAUUUGAAGUAUGUUGAAGGACUUAAUGUUAGACUGACCUUGGUUGAGGAUAUUAUUAUUUCAUGGAAUCUCAACUUGUCACAAUAACACUAAUAUGAGAGUUAUUAUAAAUCUAAUAUUUCUAUAUAAACAUCUUUAAAAGAGAUGAUAUUUUUUUUAUAUGGAAUUAAAUGUACUUGUUAAGAUUUCUAUACCUAAAACUCUUUUGAAUUAUAAAAUAUGAUGUGUAACUAUCAAUGGAAAUUAAUAUAUACAAUCAAUUUUUUUCCACUGAAGCACAUGUUAUUGUUAACAUUCAAAACCGAAGUACUUCUGUAAAGUCUAAACAGUUGAAAAAUAUUAUCAUGUAACUAAAUUGAUUCAGCAUUGCCUUUCAUUGUUGGCGAAAAAAUGAUAUUCAAAAGUAGUUGCAACUAAUUAGUCUUACAAGUGAAGCGAAACGCAGCUGUGUUUAUGAAUAGCUAAGAAUGUGUGGGUGUUCUUCCCAGAAACAGCGUUCAAUGAUGUUGCAAUGAUCUACAACCACUUCUCCCUCCAGUUUCAGUUUCUUCCCAGAGACUACUCCAUUCUCCACUUUACCCGCUUCCUGAAAAUGAAUAUAUUCAGACAAUUAUUUAACAGGUAAACAAACUACAAAGCUCUUCAAUGUUCUUCCUAAGAUAUGGAGUUCUUUAGCCAGUCCAUUUGUGUAUAUCUUCAUUCCCAACACAGAUUACGGAAAAUGCUAACCUUUAAGCGGAAAACAGAGGAGCCCAUUCGAAAGAUUAGAGGUAAUGCACUGUACUCGAUUCCAAAUUGAUUGCUAAGCAGCUCGUUUUUCUCUCGUGUUUGCGUACCCUGGAAAGAUCAUUAACAAAGAGCAAGAUAUGAAGAACCAUUUUCAAGUCACUCAUGAGAAAUGAAAGUUUCUUUCCACCAUAACAAAGUUACCUUUAAGUAAUCUUGGGAUUGAGUUUUGGUCUUUCCAGACUUUACAAGCAUCCAGAAACAUGUAUUAUACUGAUUAUUAAUAUGGCCUGCCAAACAGAAAAGAAAACAUGAGACUACUCAUAUAUUAAGGCUUCAUUCAAAAGAGCAAUAGAUAAUUUAUUUUACUCACAGUCAACUUGUCUCCAAGCCAGAUAAUCCAAAAUAAUCUUGUACGUUGGAUAGCAGACUGCUCGUCCAUCGAAGGAUGGAGGGUACUUGAGUUCUUUAUGAGGGAAGAAAUCACCCCAUUUUAUCACAUACGUGGAUGUAAACAAGGAUGCGAUUGCAGAUACUAUCUUACUGCGACACAAUAUCAGGAAGUUAAGAACCAAGAGAAUCAGGGAGAUACAUUGGUAGGGAAAAGAGAAUUUUAGUUUAACCUGGAUUGUCUUUUGUAGAGCUCAGACUCUUUCUUCAAAACAAAGCUGGAAUCAAUAAUGAGCUUAAUCAAUACCUAAGAUAUGUAAAAAAAAACGGAUAUGAAAGACGUACAGAAACAAAGACCUGUACUCAUCACUGACACCAUAGGCAAAUUGACUAUCCUCAAACUCCUCGAGAACAGCCACUGCACAUGAAUUCAUAAGUUUCAGAGCUUGCUCAUCAUUUGGCUUCUCAAAUUCAUGAACGUCAGAAAAUCUACCAAAAAUACAAGCAAACUCCAUAAGUUAUAUUUUCAACAGUGAACGUUAGUUGAUUAGAUAGCUGGUUCCUAGGGAGCACAUAGACUUGACUAGUCUAAGGCUUCAAUGCAAUAUAAUGUCUAACAAGGUUUUGAGGAAAAUAAGACAACAAAGUAAACAAUAUAUCACCUGUGAAAAUGACAGCCGUCAAUCCUAACCACAACCCAAGUUAAAGGUAACAGUUUGUUCUCAAACUGAAACGACCUAACAAAAUCUGGUUCACUUCUGCCAAUAUCUUUCGUGAAGUAACCAAGAUCAUUAUAGAGGGAAGGGUGCUCAUUCCAAAAGCUUCUUGCAGCAAUAUUCUCUGAAUGUACUAAAACAGCCUUUCUCCUCAAUCUUUUAACAGGAUUCCCGUUCUCAUCAUGCUUUACAAUUUCUUCCACCUAAAUGAAGUAAAAUGAAAGUAUUUCAUAUUCGGAAUCUACAAUAAGUCUGAGGUAUAAGCUAAAUUUAUGAUGAAGAUCAAGCAAGAAGCAAUGAAAAGCGAAGAUCUCACUUUUCACAAAACACACAAUACAAAGGAUAACACAUAUAUUUUCAGCUACUUACAUCAACAAAAAUCAAAGUAGUAGUCUCCUACACAUGAAAAUAUUUUACAAGAGUUUAAAUAAUUUAAAAUUAAAAACCUAAGCGUACAUGUGCACCAAUUAUAUUGUUCAACAUACUGAUCUUACCAACAUUUAUAGAGAAUCAACUUACAAGUUAUAACUGGAGGGUCUUGUCCUAAAUAACACAUCACAUAUUAAAAACAAGCAUAAAAGCGCAGUAUAUAUAAUUUGUAACAGAAAGUAUAAACUAUCACCUUUGUUUUGAAAAGACAUGAUCCUUGGCGAAACAAUUCAGGAAGAGUCUUGUAAUUGAUACCAAAUUUCUGAAAGAGAAGCUCAUUUUUCUGCUGCUUUUGUGUAUCCUGCAGUAACCAACGAAAAUAGACAAAUAGUGUGAUCAAACAAUGGAACAUAAUAACUAAUAAAAAACCAGGCGAACAAUGUAGUGGAACCAUAUAGUCAUGAUGCUAAACACAUUCCACGACAAAGAACAUUGAUGUCUGUCACAGAAAAGCAGCAACAACAAACCUUAAGAACCUCUUGUGUUUCACUUAUGGUCUUUCCACUUUUAACUAACAUCCAAAAACAAGUUUCAUACUGAUUCUUGGCGUGGCCUGUAACGAAGAAGAAACAGAAAGCUCCCAGAAAUAACAAGUAUCAAUAAUUUUUCUGAGGUCAGAGUGUCUUACAGUCUUGUUGUCUCCACGCGAGAUAAACUUGAAGAACCUCUGGCGUUGCACAAGUUACAACCUUUGAGGUGAAAGAAGGAGCAUAUUCUAGUUUUCUUUGGGGAAAGAACUGUUUCCAUUUUGUUACGUACGCUGCAGCAAAGAAGGAAGCUACCAAGGACAAAAUCUUACUGCAUAUUAAACAAAAACAGGGAAGUAAAGACUAUGAGUCAAUCAGAGAAACGAAACCACAUAUUAUUAUGCAAAAGGUUUCUACAAAUCGAUCAGGUUUGGAUGAAUCAAUACCUGGAUCGUCUCUGGUAGAAUCUUGACGUUUUCUUGAAUACAAAACUACGGAAGAGACACAGAAAACAUUUAAAGGCGAUAGAGUGAGGGUGUAAAAACCUAAGAAAAAUAAAGUCAACACAGUGAACCUGUAUUCAUCACUGAAUCCAUAUGCAAAGAUGAUAUCGGGGUACUCUUCCAAAACGGCAGCAGAACACGAAUUCAUCAGAUUGAGGGCUGCUUCAUCGUUAGGCUUCUCAAACUCAUGAACUUGAGAGAAUCUAUAGUGUUUUAACGAGGUUAAGAGAGAAUCCUCGACAAAUAAAUAUAAAUACAACCUUCAUCAAAGUCUAAGGUCCAUGAACAAUGCCAAACACUAUCAACUCUUUGACUGAGUGAUGAAUGAAACUACAGCAAAAUGCAAGUACUUUUUUUUGCAAUCAUGCUCUAAAAUCCAUCAAAGACACAGUCUUUAGACAUGAGUUCCCUAAAACCUCUAGAGAAGAGUACAAAGUCAGCAAGACCUAAAAGAAAACAACAUCGGACACAAUGAACAAACUAAUGAACAGAACCAAAACUGUAAAGCAGAAGCCUUUACACCAACCAUCACCAUUGACAUUCUAUAGAAGUAAAAGGUGAGAGUUUUACCUAGAAAAGUCACGACCAUCGAUCCGGACAACGAUCAGGUUAGGAAACAUAACUUCGUCUUCGAGUUCGAACGACUUGACAUACUCGUACUUGCUAUUCGCCAUACUUGUACACUUUUUAACCAAAACUGUCUGCUUACUUUUGUUCUUUGAUCUCUACUCUUGACGUCGAACCUUUUAAAGAAGACCUCCUGACGCCAUGGCCAGUGAGCUGUGGUUCGGUUCUCCCUCAGUUGAUCGGCGACGGCUCCUCUUCCACUAAGCUUCGUCGCUUCUUUUCUCCUCCUGGGCUUCUUCUGCCUCUGGGCUUUUGUCGUUUACUGCAUCUACUUUAGCAGAGUUCUAAUCGAACCGGCUACUAAACCGAAAGCUGAGCCUUCCGACGACCUAAACCGAUCCUCUACACCACCAUCACCGUUCUUUCAAAAAUUGUUUAGCGCACUUAAACCCUAAACCGGGGAUCUCCGGUUCGGUAUUUUAGCUUAGACCCAAAGGGCCGGGAAGUGUACAGUUAAGUGCACUAAACAAUUUUUGAAAGAACCGUGAUCCCCGGUUUAGGGUUUAAGUGCGCUAAAUAGGCCUAUUGCCAUAUGUUUUCAAUUUCUACUUAGACACAUGUCUCCUAGUCCCCCCAUUGGGCCUAUUGCCAUAUGUUUUCAAUUUCCACAAGUAAACCGUAGAAUGAUCAUAAUUGCAAGUUUGCAACAAACAGAGAGAGUAUUGAACUCGGAAAGUUGAGAAAACCAGACGGUUUAGGCGUUAUCUGGUUUUCUAACAAAACCGAAAAAACUGAGCAGUUCAACCAAUGGGACCGUACACUUCCCGGCCCUUUGGGUCUAAGCUAAAAUACCGAACCGGAGAUCCCCGGUUUAGGGUUUAAGAGCGCUAAACCAUUCUUGAAAUAACGGUUAAGGUUGUCGGAAGGCUCAGCUUUCGGUUUAGUAGCCGGUUCGAUUACAACUCUGCUAAAGUAGAUGCAGUAAACGACAAAAGCCCAGAGGCAGAAGAAGCCCAGGAGGAGAAAGGAAGCGACGAAGCUUAGUGGAAGAGUCGCCGUCGCCGAUCAACUGAGAGAGAACCGAACCACAGCUCAAUGGCCGUGGCAUCAGGAGGUCUUCUGUAAAAAGUUCGACGUCAAGAGUAGAAAUCAAAGAAGAGAAGAAAGCUGACAGUUUCGGUUAAAACGUGGAGAAGUAUGGCGAAUAGCAAGUACGAGUAUGUCAAGUCGUUCGAACUAGAAGACGAAGUUAUGUUUCCUAACUUGAUCGUUGUCCGGAUCGAUGGUCGUGACUUUGCUAGGUAAAGCUCUCACCUUUUACUUCUAUAGAAUGUCAAUGGUGAUGGUUCAAUGAUAAUAACAAUUUUAAUUGAUUAUUUUUUAAAAAAUACAUUUACAAAAAUAUUGUUUGAAAGAAAAUUCAUUUAUCUUUCAAAUAUAAAAUGAAAAUAUUAUAAUUAAAUAAUAAAAAAUAUAAAUAAAAACCAUAAAUUUAGCAAAUAACAACUGAGUUAUAUUAUGCUAAAAUUUUCUUUCUAACAAUUUAUCAAAUGACAAAUGAGUUAUGAGCAAAUAAUACCAUAUAAUUUUUUAAAACAUAGCCAUUCUUAAAUAUUUUUUGAAUAAAUAAUUAAUUUUAAAUUUAAUCAACUGAAAAUAACAUAACAUAUAAAAAAAUAUAAAUGUUUUUUAUUAUAUAUUUAAUGUGAUUUUUAAUAUAUUUUAAUAAUAUAAAUUUUUUAAAAAGAACUAAGAUACACAAAUUGUUAUCAAAUAUUUAUUAUUUAUAAUAAUUAAUUUUCAUAUAUACGUUAAUCAUAUUAGGUAAUUUCGUAGAUUCUAAUUAAGGAAAGUGCAAAAAAAAUUUUGGUAGAUUAUUUAUCAAUUCGAUAGUUAGUUUAAUAAAAAAUAUAAUGUAAGUCAAGAUGGACCAACCUAUUUUUNNNNNNNNNNNNNNNNNNNNNNNNNNNNNNNNNNNNNNNNNNNNNNNNNNNNNNNNNNNNNNNNNNNNNNNNNNNNNNNNNNNNNNNNNNNNNNNNNNNNNNNNNNNNNNNNNNNNNNNNNNNNNNNNNNNNNNNNNNNNNNNNNNNNNNNNNNNNNNNNNNNNNNNNNNNNNNNNNNNNNNNNNNNNNNNNNNNNNNNNNNNNNNNNNNNNNNNNNNNNNNNNNNNNNNNNNNNNNNNNNNNNNNNNNNNNNNNNNNNNNNNNNNNNNNNNNNNNNNNNNNNNNNNNNNNNNNNNNNNNNNNNNNNNNNNNNNNNNNNNNNNNNNNNNNNNNNNNNNNNNNNNNNNNNNNNNNNNNNNNNNNNNNNNNNNNNNNNNNNNNNNNNNNNNNNNNNNNNNNNNNNNNNNNNNNNNNNNNNNNNNNNNNNNNNNNNNNNNNNNNNNNNNNNNNNNNNNNNNNNNNNNNNNNNNNNNNNNNNNNNNNNNNNNNNNNNNNNNNNNNNNNNNNNNNNNNNNNNNNNNNNNNNNNNNNNNNNNNNNNNNNNNNNNNNNNNNNNNNNNNNNNNNNNNNNNNNNNNNNNNNNNNNNNNNNNNNNNNNNNNNNNNNNNNNNNNNNNNNNNNNNNNNNNNNNNNNNNNNNNNNNNNNNNNNNNNNNNNNNNNNNNNNNNNNNNNNNNNNNNNNNNNNNNNNNNNNNNNNNNNNNNNNNNNNNNNNNNNNNNNNNNNNNNNNNNNNNNNNNNNNNNNNNNNNNNNNNNNNNNNNNNNNNNNNNNNNNNNNNNNNNNNNNNNNNNNNNNNNNNNNNNNNNNNNNNNNNNNNNNNNNNNNNNNNNNNNNNNNNNNNNNNNNNNNNNNNNNNNNNNNNNNNNNNNNNNNNNNNNNNNNNNNNNNNNNNNNNNNNNNNNNNNNNNNNNNNNNNNNNNNNNNNNNNNNNNNNNNNNNNNNNNNNNNNNNNNNNNNNNUGUAUCUUCUUAUAAUAAAAAUGUUAAACCAUUGAUCAUUAAUUUUUAACAUAAUAAUUUUAAUAGUUUUAGUCAUUUAUUGUCGUUUUUAAAAAUUCAAAAUAUAACAUAUACGAAAAAAUCUAAAUUUUACUUUUAUAGCUAAUUUGAUUGUUUAAUUUAUUUUAAUAAUAUAAAAUUAAACAAAAAAUGAUGGAGGAGAUAUAAAUUGUUAUCAAAUCUUUAUUAUUAAAAUCAUUAAUUGUCAUAUAUAUAUUAGUCAUUUAUGGUAAUUCCGUAGGUUUGAUUUAAGGAAAGAAAAUAACAUAUCAUAUCAUUAUAUCAUAUAGUUUGACCAACUUAUGUAUCUAACAACAUAUAAAAAUCGAAUGUGGACCUACUUAUUUUUCAAUUGAAUGUAAUUGACUACCUAAUUGAGUGACACCUAUGCAUUGGGGCCUAUUUUAAUUAAUACAAAAUUGAGGUUACAUCUUUUCAAAUGUUCCUCGAUUAAUAUAUAGGGGAUAGAUAUUAGGAUCUUCCGCCUUAGUAACUACUAAGAGUCUUAGUCUAAGACCCUGUCGUUAACUCUCAGACUAUUCUUACACUCCAGCAAAACCUGUCCUGUCUUGGGCUCUUAAGAGCUCAGUAGCGAUAAAGAACGAAUUCUCAGUUCUAGAGUUACUUAAAAAUGUUUCAGAUUCGAAUUUGCAUUCUUUCAAGAUUCAAACGCAUAACAUCCCUUUAAGACGCGUGCAUGAAUGGCAAAAAAAAAGCUUUAAGCAACCAGACACCUUACCACCACUCAUAAUUCAGGAAUCCAAGUCUAUUUGUAUCUUUAGAUUUCUCCUGGCAAGCCCAAAUUAAGGUCUCAAAAAAGAAAGGAUUUCUAAGGCUUAACUAAACUUUUGUGUGUCUAUUAUCAGGCUUGACCGGCAGGCAGCGGAGUAGUUGUUUCCAUGCUUUGUUUAAGAGAUUGCUUCAGGUGCAGCUAAUCUCCAUUCAACAAUACACAGGUGACUAAUAAAGCUCAUGUACAGUGGGGAGGUGUGUAACGACAUGCCUGUAAAGUUAAAGCAGCCAAAUUAUACUUAGCUGUGUCUUUCUCACUUAGAAUGAUAGAGUAGGUUAAGUUCCUCACCUUUCACUUCUGGAUGACUUGGAGCAACAACUUUCUUCUGGGAACACCAACGCCUUGGCUCAGCUUAUAUUUUCUUCUUUUACUUCACUUUUAAGCUUACCCUCACUCCGUGGAUUCUUUCUUUUAGCUUGAAUAUGAUGCACAAACGCAGCUACUAUGACAUGCAGCUUUGGGGGAGGCUUGCUUGCUGAAGAGACACUAAGACCAGCAUCCUUCAAAGCUUUCGCAACUAGCUUCUGCGAUUUCUGGAAGUGCACAUUACACAGUGCAGGUACAGUCGACGCAAGUGUAGGUUUUCCACAGAGUAAUGGGCCUGCAGGAGCUCUGAAUGCAACAACAACACAAAAAAACGCAGCGUUACAAGAGAACUUCUAAAACAAUCAUCAUGUGCUAAUUACGAACCAGAAACAUAUAUAAAAUCAGGGAUGUAACAAUCUGAAUCUGAUAAUGAUAGUGUAUCAUUCUGGAACCUGGUUAAUGUUUUACUACUAUCACAGUAUAACUAUUCACCGGGAAUAACGCAGUACAUCGGUCCAAGGUCAAGAAAACAUAGCAAAUACCGAAUGUAUGAAUGGUUACGGACAAUCACUACAUCAUCCAAAGCUAACAACUUUACCAAUCCCUUUUGAGACCUUUUGCAAAUUGGGAAACGAAGCAGUUUCUUUAUUCAUUACAAGACAAAAAAAAAUGCAUGGUAGUUUCAUUUCAUCACCAUUACAACAUCUUAACCCGUGUUAGGACAACUUGUAACACCUAUUGUUUUCAAACGCAAAAUAAAGCCAACUUAACAAACUCACUAUUCACCGCAUCAACAAACUGAAUCUGAUAAAUGAUAGUGUAUCGUUCUGGAGCCUGGUUAAUGUUUCACUACUAUCACAGACUCACAGUAUGACUAUCACCGGGAAUAACGCAGUACAUCGGUCCAAGUUCAAGAAAACAAGGCAGUACGAAUCUGUGAAUGGUUACCGACAAUCACUAUCUCUGUGUUCAAAGCUAACAAGUCUACUAAUCCCUUCUGAAACAGUUUAUUGGUUCGUUACAAGACCAAAACUGCAAGCUAGUUUCAUUUCAUCAUCAUCAUUACAACAUCUUAACUCAACUAUAACAUGUAAUUAACACGAUUUGUAGCCCCUAUUGUUUUCAAACGCAAAACAAAGCCUACACUUUUAUAACAAGUCUACUAAUCCCUUCUGAAACAGUUUAUUGGUUCGUUACAAGACCAAAACUGCAAGCUAGUUUCAUUUCAUCAUCAUCAUUACAACAUCUUAACCCAACUAUAACAUGUAAUUAACACGAUUUGUAGCCCCUAUUGUUUUCAAACGCAAAACAAAGCCUACACUUUUAUAACAAGUCUACCAAUCCCUUUCGAAACACUUUAUUGGUUCGUUACAAGACCAAAACUGCAAGCUAGUUCCAUUUCAUCAUCAUUACGACAUCUCAACCUAGAUGUAACAUGUAACUAACACAUUCAAACGCAAAAAAAAAACGAACCUUUUGAUGACGUUUGUGCAACCAGUGUAGAGCUUCUGCUUGCUAUCCUUGAGGAUAUGAAGCUGACAGUACUUGGUGAGAGGCAUGGCUUUCGCUUUGCAUCCAUACAUACAGCUCCCACUGUUACUAUUCGCAUACUCAUCAACCUUAACGCCGUCAUUGUUAGCUCCGUUAUCUCCACUACCUUCAACGGCGUCGCCAGUUUCUCCUCCUCCACCAUCCAUCCUCCGCCUCUUAUUCGGUUGAUUCUGUUCUUCUUUGAACGGGCUAACGCCGUAUCUCCAGUAGUACUCCCUGUGCUGCGCCUUGAGAUCCUCCAUUAACGCCCAGUAAUGGUCUCUGUAGCACUUGGCGAGCUGCUUGAGGUUGUGCGAUCUGCGCCGGAGAAGCUCCGGGCGCGUGAGGUGACUGGAGCGCGAGAGGGUUUGGUCCUCCGGUGACAUCGUGAUCGGUGAAUUUGAUGUGGAUGGUGAGGCGUUUGAGCUAGGGUUAGGGUUAGGGAUCCGAAUUUGGGGCUCGGCUGAGGUGGAGGCCACGGGGGUAGUGGAGGCGGCGAGGGAAGAAGGAGGCCUUGGGGGUUUCAUGGAGAAAGGGUUCUUGGAAGCUGAGGCCAUUGUCGUCGCCGGAGAUUGAGACCAGAGUCGAGAUGAAAGAUUAGUACUUGGAAAAUAGGCUUUUCAAUUCCCGGAGAUUAACUCCAUAUGCGCCUCCCUAUCUUAAAAAAAUUCUCUUUUCUCUCAUCAAAAUAUCAUUUAAUAUUUAUUUUUUUUUUAAAUAAAAAACGUAGAAUUUAGAUGGUGAUUUAGAAACUAAGAUAACAAAAAUAUUUGUUGAUAGAUGAAUAUUCUUUAAAAAAAAAUUUAUCAAUAGGUUGUAUUUUGCAAAUAAACUUUUAAAAAUUUCUACUUUUGGAAAGUUAAUACUUUUUUAGAGAAAAUAAUUUUAAAAAUUCUAUUUUUGGAAAGUUAAUAUUUGUUAAAGAAAAUAAUGUAGAUUUGGGAUUGUGAUUAGGAAAUUAGGAUAACAGAAAAUUUUUGUUGAUAGAUGAAUAUUCUUUUAGAAUUAUUGAUCAAUAGGUUGUAUUUUCUAAAUAAACUUUUUAAAUUUUUUAUUUUUGGAUAGUUAUCACUUUUUUAGAUAAAACAAUGUAGAUUUGGGAUUGUGAUUUAGAAAUUAGAAUAUAAGAAUAUUUGUUGAUAGAUGAGUAUUCUUUUAGAGUUUUUGAUCAAUAUGUUGUAUUUUUAAAUAAAAAUUUAAAAUUUCUAUUUUAGGAAAGUUAACACUUUUUUAUAGAAAUAUAAAAUAAUUGUUGAUAGAUGAGUAUUCUUUUAGAAUUUAUGAUCAACGGGUUGUAUUUUUUAAAUAAAGUUUUAAUUUUUUUUAUUUUUGGAAAGUUAUCACUUUUUUAGAGAAAUAUUUAAGAUUUGAGAUUGUGAUUUAGAAACUAGGAUAACAAUAAUAUUUGUUUUAAAAUGAGUAUUAUUUUAGAAAUUUUGAUCAAUAAGCUGUAUUUUUUAAAUAAAAUUUUAAAAGUUUCUAUUUUUGGAAAAUUAUCACUUUUUAGAGAAAAUAAUGUAGAUUCGAUACUGAGAUUAGAAACAAGAGUAAAAAUAAUAUUUGUUGAUAGAUGAGUAUUCUUUUAGAUUUUUAAUCAAUAAUAAUAUUUUAAAAGUUUCUAUUUUUGAAAAGUUAUCACUUUUUUUAGUGAAAAAGUGUAGAAUUUAGAUUAUGAUUUACAAACUAGGAUAACAAAAAUAUUUGUUGAUAGAUGAGUAUUCUUUUAAAAAAUUUAAUCAAUAGGUUGUAUUUUGCAAAUAAACUUUUUUAAAAAUUUAUUUUUGGAAAGUUAAUACAUUUUUAGAGAAAAUAAUGUAGAUUUGGGAUUGUCAUUUAGAAAUUAGGAUAACAAAAAUAUUUGUUGAUAGAUGAGUAUUCAUUUAGAAUUUUUGAUCAAUAGAUUGUAUUUUGUAAAUAAACUUUUAAAAAUUUAUAUUUUUGGAAAGUAGUCACUUUUUUAGAGAUAAUAAUGUAGAUUUGAGAUUGUGAUUUAGAAACUAGAAUAACAAGAAUAUUUGUUGAUAGAUGAGCAUUCUUAUAGAAUUUUUGAUCGAUAAGUUGUAUUUUCUAAAUAAAUUUUUAAAAAUUGUAUUUUUGGAAAGUUAUCAUUUUUUAGAUAAAACAAUGUUGAUUUGGGAUUGUGAUUUAGAAAUUAGAAUAAUAAGAAUAUUUGUUGAUAGAUGAGUAUUCUUUAAGAAUUUUUGAUCAAUAGGUUGUAUAUUUAAAUAAAGUUUUAACAUUUUCUAUUUUUGGAAAGUUAUCACUUUUUAGAAAAAUAUUUAAGAUUUGGGAUUGUGAUUUAGAAACUAGGAUAACAAGAAUAUUUGUUAAUAAAUGAGUAUUCUUUUAGAAUUUUUUAUCAGUAUGUUGUAUUUUUUAAAAGUUUCUAUUUUUGGAAAAUUAUCACUUUUUAGAGAAAAAUAAUGUAGAUUUGAUAUUGAUAUUAGAAACUAUGGUAACAAAAAUAUUUGUUGAUAGAUGAGUAUUCUUUUAGAACUUUUAAACAAUAGGCUGUGUUCUUUUAAUAAUCUUUUAAAAAAAUUAUUUUUGGACAAUAAUCACUUUUUUAGAGAAAAAAACAUAGAAUUUAGAUUGUGAUUUACAAACUAGGAUAACAAGAAUAUUUGUUGAUAGAUGAAUAUUCUUUUAAAAUUUUUGAUCAAUAGGUUGUAUUUUGCAAAUAAACUUUUAAAAAUUCCUAUUUUUGGAAAUUUAAUACUUUUUUUGAGAAAAUAAUUUUUAAAAUUCUAUUUUUGGAAAGUUAAUAUUUUUUAGAAAAAAUAAUGAAGAUUCGCGAUUGUGAUUUGGAAAUUAGGAUAAUAGAAAAUAUUUGUUGAUAGAUGAAUAUUCUUUUAGAAUUAUUGAUCAAUAGGUUGUAUUUUCUAAAUAAACUUUUUAAAAUUUCUAUUUUUGGAAAGUUAUCACUUUUUUAGAUAAAACAAUAUAUAUUUGGGAUUGUGAUUUAGAAAUUAGGAUAUAAGAAUAUUUGUUGAUAGAUAAGUAUUCUUUUAGAGUUUUUGAUCAAUAGGUUGUAUUUUUAAAUAAAAUUUUAAAAUUUCUAUUUUAGGAAUGUUAACACUUUUUUAUAGAAAUAUAUUAAAUUUUGGAUUGUGUUUUAGAAAUUAAGAUAAUAAAAUAAUUGUUGAUAGAUGAGUAUUCUUUUAGAAUUUUUGAUCAAUGAGUUGUAUUUUUUAAAUAAAGUUUUAAUUUUUUUUUUUUUUUGGAAAGUUAUCACUUUUUAGAGAAAUAUUUAAGAUUUGGGAUUGUGAUUUAGAAACUAGGAUAAGAAGAAUAUUUUUUUAAUAAAUGAGUAUUCUUUUUAGAAUUUUUGAUCAGUAUGUUGUAUUUUUUAAAUAAACUUUGAAAAGUUUCUAUUUUUGGAAAAUUAUCACCUUUUCAGAGAAAAAUGAUGUAGAUUUGAUAUUGAGAUUAGAAACUAAGUGACCAGAAUAUUUUUUGAUAAAUGAGUAUUAUUUUAGAUUUUUUAAUCAAUAGGUUGUAUUGUUUUAAUCAACAUUAUUUUCUCUAAAUAGUGAUAACUUUUCCAAAAUUGAGAUUUUUAAAAGUUUAUUUAGAAAAUACAACCUAUUGGUCAAAAAUUCUAUAAGAAUACUCAUCUAUCAACAAAUAUUAUUUUAUCCUAGUUUCAAAUCAUAAUCUCAAAUCUACAUUUUUUUCUCUAAAAAAUGAUAAUCUUCCUAAAAUAGUAGAUUUUAAAAUUUUAUUAAAAAAAUACAAUCUGUUGAUCAAAAAUUCUAAAAGAGUACUCAUAUAUCAAAAAUUAUUUUUCUAUCUUAAUUUAUAAAUCAUAAUAAAAAAUUUAAUAUAUUUCCCUAAACAAGUGAUAACUUUCCAAAAAUAGAAAUUCUAAAAAAAUUAUUUUAAAAAUACAACCUAUUGAUCAGAAAUUCUAAAAGAAUACUCAUCUAUGAACAAAUAAUCUUGUAAUCCUAGUUUAUAAAUCACAAUCUCAAAUUUACAUUAUUUUCUAUAAAAAUGAUAACUUUCCUAAAAUUGUGAUUGAGAAAUUAGGAUAACAAUAGUUUUUGUUGAUAGAUGGGCAUUGUUUUAGAAUUUUUGAUCAAUAGGUUGCUUUUAUUAAAACAAAAUUUACUAAAAACAAAUAUUUUGGGAAAGUUAUCAAUUUUGUAGAAAAAUAUUGUAGAUUUGAAAUUGUGAUUAAGCAAUUGGGAUAACAAGAGUUUUGGUUGAUUGAUGGACAUUUUUUUUAAAAAAAUUGAUCAUUAUGUUGUAUUUUUUAGCUAAAUAUUCCUGAAACUGCUAUUUUAGGAAAAUUAUCAUUUUGUAGAGAAAUAUUGUAGAUUUGAAAUUCUGAUUUAGAAAUUAGGAUAACAAGAGUUUUUGUUGAUAGAUGGACAUUCUUUAAAAAAAUUUGAGCAAUAGAUCUUCUAAAUUAGUUUUCUAAAAAUUGCUAUUUUAGGAAAGUUAUCAUUUUUAUAGAGAAAUAUUGUAGAUUUGUGAUUGUGAUUGAGAAAUUAGAAUAACAUGAGUUUUUAUUGAUAGAUGGACAUUCUUUUAGAAUUUUUGAGCAAUAUGUUGCAUCUUUAAAGAAUUUUUCUAAAAACUGCUAUUUUAGGGAACUUAUAAUUUUUGUAGAGAAAUAUUGUAAAUUUGGGAUUGUGAUUGAGAAAUUAGGAUAAGAAUAGUUUUUGUUGAUAGAUGGGCAUUGUUUUAGAAUUUUUAAGCAAUAGGUUGUAUUUUUAAAAAACAUUUACUAGAAACUGCUAUUUUGGGAAAGUUAUCAAUUUUGAAAAGAAAUAUUGUUGAUUUUAAAUUGUGAUUAAGAAAUUGGGAUAAUAAGAGGUUUUGUAGAUAGAUGGACAUUUUUUUUAGAAUUGUUGAUCAUUAGGUUGUAUUUUUUAAAUAAAUAUUCCCGAAACUGUUAUGUUAGGAAAGUUAUCAUUUUUGUAGAGAAAUAUUGUAGAUUUGAAAUUCUGAUUUACAAAUUAGGAUAACAAGAGUUUUUAUUGAUGGAUGAGCAUUCUUUUAGCAAUUGGGAUAACAAGAGUUUUUGUUGAUAGAUGGCAAUUGUUUAAAGUUUUUGAUCAUAAAGUUGUAUUUUAAAAUAAAUAUUCAUGAAACUGCUAUUUUAGGAAAUUUAUCAUUUUUGUAGAUAAAUAUUGUAGAUUUGAAAUUCUGAUUUAGAAAUUAGGAUAACAAGAGUUUUUGUUAAUAGAUUGGCAUUCUUUUAUAAUUUUUGAUCAAUAUGUUGUAUUUUUAAAAUAAAUUUUGUAAAAACUGGUAUUUUGGAAAAGGUCAUCAUUUUUGUAGAGAAAUAUUGUAGAUUUGGGAUUGUGAUUGAGAAAUUAGGAUAACAAGAGUUUUUGUUGAUAUAUGUGCGUUCUUUUAGAUUUUUUGAGCAAUAUGUUACAUUUUUAAAAGAGAUUUUCUAAAAACCGAUAUUUUAGGAAAGUUAUUAAUUUUGUUGAUAAAUAUUGUAGAAUUUGAAACUCUUUUUUAGAAAUUAUGAUAGCAAGUGUUUUUGUUGAUAGGUGGGCAUUUUUUUAGAAUUUUUGAGCAAUAGGUUGCAUUUUUAAAAGAGAUUUUCUAAAAACUGCUAUUUUAGGAAAGUUAUUAAUUUUGUAGAGAAAUAUUGUAGAUUUGGGAUAGUGAUUGAUAAUUAAGAUAACAAGAGUUUUUGUUGAUAGAUGGGCAUUGUUUUAAAAAAUUUGAUCAAUAUGUUGCAUUUUUCAAAUAAGUUUUUUUUUAAACUGCUAUUUUGAGAAAGUCAUCAUUUUUGUUGAGAAAUAUUGUAGAUUUGAGAUUGUGAUUGAGAAAUUAGGAUAACAAGAGUUUUUGUUGAUAGAUGGACAUUCUUUUCGAAUUUUGAAGCAAUAGGUUGCUAUUUUUAAAGAAAUUUUCUAAAAACCGCUUUUUUAGGAAAGUUAUUAUUUUUGUAGAGAAAUAUUGUACAUUUGAGAUUGUGAUUUAGAAAUUAGGAUAACAAGAGUUUUUGUUGAUAGAUGGACAUUCUUUUAAAUAAGUUUUCUAUAAACUUGUAUUUUAGGAAAAUUAUCAUUUUUGUUUAGAAAUAUUAUAGAUUUGGGAUUGUGAUUUAGAAAUUAGGAUAACAAGAGUUUUUUUUGAUAGAUGGGCAUUGUUUUAGAAUUUUUGAUCAAUAGGUUUUAUUUUUGAAUAAAUUUUCUAAAAAGUACUAUUGUGGGAAAGUUAUCAAUUUUCUAGAGAAAUAUUGUAGAUUUGCGAUUAUGAUUGGAAAAUUAGGAUAACAAGAAUUUUUGCUGAUCGAUGGGCAUUCUUUAAGAAUUUUUGACCAAUAUGUUGCAUUUUAAAUAUAUUUUAUAAAAAAUAUUAUUUUUGGAUUGUCAUUAUUUUUUAUAGGGAUAAAUAUUGUAGAUUUGAGAUUAUGAUUGAGAAAUUAGGAUAACAAGAAUUUUUGUUGAUAGACGGGCAUUCUUUUAGAAUGUUUGAUCAAUAGGUUUAAUUUUAGGUAAAUUUUUUAAAAUUGCUUUUUUGGGAAAAUCAUCAAUUCUGUAUAGAAAUAUUGUAGAUUUGCAAUUGUGAUUAAGCAAUUAAUAUAACAAGAGUUUUUGUUGAUGGAUGGGCAUUUGAUAAGAAUUUUUGAAUACUAUUUUGUAUUUCUCAACUAAAUAUUUCUGAAACUGCUAUUUUAAGAAAAUUAUCAUUUUGUACAGAAAUAUUGUCGAUUGGGAUUGGGAUUGAGAAAUUUGAAUAACAAGAGUUUUUGUUGAUAGAUGGGCAUUCUUUUAGAAUUUUUGAGCAAUAUGUUGCAAUUUUAAAGAAAUUUUGUAAAAACUUCUAUUUUCGGAAACUUAUCAUUUUUGCAGAGAAAUAUUUUAGAUUUGGGAUUGUGAUUGAGAUAUUAAGAUAGCAAUAGUUUUUGUUGAUAGAUGGGCAUUGUUUUAGAAUUUUUAAGCAAUAGGUUGCAUUUUUUAAAGAAAUUUUCUAAAAACUGCUAUUUUAGGAAAGUUAUUACUUUUAUAGAGAAAUAUUGUAGAUUUGGGAUUGUGAUUGAGAAAUUAGGAUAACAAGAGUUUUUGUUGGUAGAUGGACAUUCUUUUAGAUUUUUUAAACAAUAGGUUGCAUCUUUUAAAUAAAUGUUCUAUAAACUUCUAUUUUAGAAAAAUUAUUAUUUUGUAGAGAAAUAUUGUAGAUUUGAAAUUGUGAUUUAGAAAUUAGGAUAACAAGAAAAUUUUUUUGAUAGAUGAGCGUUAUUUUAGAAUUUUUGAUCAAUAGGUUAUAUUUUUAAAUAAAUUUUCUAAAAAGUGCUAUUUUGGUAAAGUUAUCAAUUCUUGUAGAGAAAUAAUGUUGACUUGCGAUUAUGGUUGGGAAAUUAGGAUAACAAGAUUUUUGUUGAUCGAUGGGCAUUCUUUUAGAAUUUUUGAUCAAUAUGUUGCAUUUUUUAAAUAUAUUUUAUAAGAACUGCUAUUUUAGGAAAAUCAUCAUUUUUGUAGAGAAAUAUUGUAGAUUUGGGAUUGAGAAAUUAGGAUAACAAGAGUUUUUGUUAAUAGAUGGGCUUUCUUUUAUAACAUUUGAGCAAUAGGUUGCAUUUUUUAAAGAAAUUAAAAACUGCUAGUUUUGGAAAGUUAUUACUUUUGUCGAGAAAUAUUGUAGAUUUGAGAUAAGUUUUUGUUGAUAGAUGGACAUUUGAUAAGAAUUUUUGAAUACUAUUUUAUAUUUUUUAAAUAAAUAUUUCUGAAAUUUCUAUUUUAAGAAAGUUAUCAUUUUGUUGAAGAUAUUGUCGAUUUGAGAUUGUGAUUGAGAAUUAGGAUAACAAGAGUUUUUAUUGAUAGAAGAGCAUUCUUUUUGAAUUUUUGAUCAAUAUGUUGCUUUUUUAAAUAAGUUUUGUAAAAACUGCUAUUUUGGGAAAGUCUUCAUUUUUGUAGAGAAAUACUGUAGAUUUGGGAUUGUGAUUGAGAAAUCAGGAUAACAAAGCUUUUUUUGAUAGAUGGACAUUCUUUUAGAAUUUUUGAUCAAUAGGUUUUAUUUUUAAAUAAAUUUUCUAAAAAGUGCUAUAUUGGGAAAGUUAUCAAUUUUGUAGAGAUAUAUUGUAGAUUUGCGAUUAUGAUUGAGAAAUCAGGAUAACAAGAGUUUUUGUUGAUCAAUGGCCUCUUUUUUAGAAUUUUUGAUCUAUAUGUUGCAUUUUGAAAUACAUUUUAUAAAACUGCUAUUUUUGGAGAGUCAUCAUUUUUGUAGAGAAAUAUUGUAUAUUUGGGAUUGUGAUUGGAAAAUUAGGAUAACAAGAGUUUUUUUUAUAGAUGGGCAUUCUUUUAGAAUUUUUGAGCAAUAUGUUGCAUCUUUUAAAUAAGUUUUCUAUAAACAUCUAUUUUAAGAAAAUUAUCAUUUUUGUAGAGAAAUAUUGUAGAUUUGAAAUUGUGAUUUAGAAAUUAGGAUAACAAGAACUUUUUUUUGAUAGAUGGGCAUUCUUUUAGAUUUUUUUAUCAAUAGGUUUUAUUUUUAAAUAAAUUUUCUAAAAAGUGCUAUUUUGGGAAAGUUAUCAAUUUUGUAGAGAAAUAUUGUUAAUUUACGAUUAUGAUUGGGAAAUUAGGAUAACAAGAGUUUUUGCUGAUCGAUGGGCAUUCUUUUAGAAUUUUUGAUCAAUAUGUUGCAUUUUUAAAUAUAUUUUAUAAAAAUUAUUAUUUUUGGAUUGUCAUCAUUUUUGUAGGGAUAAAUAUUGUAGAUUUGAGAUUAUGAUUGAGAAAUUAGGAUAACAAGAGUUUUUGUUGAUCGGUGGGCAUUUUUUUAGAAUGUUUGAUCAAUAGGUUUAAUUUUAAAUUAAUUUUUAAAAAAUUGUUUUUUUGGGAGAAUCAUCAAUUCUGUAUAGAAAUAUUGUAGAUUUGAAAUUUUGAUUAAGCAAUUGAAAGAACAAGAGUUUUUGUUGUAGAUGGGCAUUUGAUAAGAAUUUUUGAAUACUAUUUUGUAUUUUUCAUAUAAAUAUUUCUGAAACUGCUAUUUUAAGAAAGUUAUCAUUUUGUACAGUAAUAUUGUCGAUUUGGGAUUGCGAUUGAGAAAUUAGAAUAACAAGAGUUUUUGUUGAUAGAUGGACAUUCUUUUAGAAUUUUUGAGCAAUAUGUUUCUUUUUUAAAGAAUUUUUGUAAAAACUGUUAUUUUCGGAAACUUAUCGUUUUUGUAGAGAAAUGUUGUAGAUUUGGGAUUGUGAUUGAGAAAUUAAGAUAACAAUAGUUUUUAUUGAUAGAUGGGCAUUGUUUUAGAAUUUUUAUGCAAUAGGUUGCAUUUUUUUAAGAAAUUUUCUAAAAAUUGCCAUUUUAGGAAAGUUAUUACUUUUGUAGAGAAAUAUUGUAGAUUUGGGAUUGUGAUUGAGAAAUUAGGAUAACAAGAGUCUUUGUUGAUAGAUGGAUAUUCUUUUAGAUUUUUUCAACAAAAGGUUGGGAAAUUAGGAUAACAUGAGUUUUUUGUUAAUAGAUGGGCAUUCUUUUAGAAUUUUUGAGCAAUAUGUUACAUUUUUAAAAGAAAUUUCCUAAAAACUGCUAUUUUUGGAAAGUUAUUAAUUUUGUACAGCAAUAUUGUAGAUUUGAAACUCUUGUUUAGAAAUUAGGAUAACAAGAGUUUUUGUUGAUAGAUGGGCAUUCUUUUAGAAUGUUUGAUCAAUAGGUUUAAUUUUAAAUAUUUUUUUUUUAAAAUUGAUACUUUGGGAAAAUUAUCAAUUCUGUAUUGAUUGUGAUUGGAAAAUUAGGAUAACAAGAGUUUUUUUUAUAGAUGGGCAUUCUUUUAGAAUUUUUGAGCAAUAUGUUGCAUCUUUUAAAUAAGUUUUCUAUAAACAUCUAUUUUAAGAAAAUUAUCAUUUUUGUAGAGAAAUAUUGUAGAUUUGAAAUUGUGAUUUAGAAAUUAGGAUAACAAGAACUUUUUUUUGAUAGAUGGGCAUUCUUUUAGAUUUUUUUAUCAAUAGGUUUUAUUUUUAAAUAAAUUUUCUAAAAAGUGCUAUUUUGGGAAAGUUAUCAAUUUUGUAGAGAAAUAUUGUUAAUUUACGAUUAUGAUUGGGAAAUUAGGAUAACAAGAGUUUUUGCUGAUCGAUGGGCAUUCUUUUAGAAUUUUUGAUCAAUAUGUUGCAUUUUUAAAUAUAUUUUAUAAAAAUUAUUAUUUUUGGAUUGUCAUCAUUUUUGUAGGGAUAAAUAUUGUAGAUUUGAGAUUAUGAUUGAGAAAUUAGGAUAACAAGAGUUUUUGUUGAUCGGUGGGCAUUUUUUUAGAAUGUUUGAUCAAUAGGUUUAAUUUUAAAUUAAUUUUUAAAAAAUUGUUUUUUUGGGAGAAUCAUCAAUUCUGUAUAGAAAUAUUGUAGAUUUGAAAUUUUGAUUAAGCAAUUGAAAGAACAAGAGUUUUUGUUGUAGAUGGGCAUUUGAUAAGAAUUUUUGAAUACUAUUUUGUAUUUUUCAUAUAAAUAUUUCUGAAACUGCUAUUUUAAGAAAGUUAUCAUUUUGUACAGUAAUAUUGUCGAUUUGGGAUUGCGAUUGAGAAAUUAGAAUAACAAGAGUUUUUGUUGAUAGAUGGACAUUCUUUUAGAAUUUUUGAGCAAUAUGUUUCUUUUUUAAAGAAUUUUUGUAAAAACUGUUAUUUUCGGAAACUUAUCGUUUUUGUAGAGAAAUGUUGUAGAUUUGGGAUUGUGAUUGAGAAAUUAAGAUAACAAUAGUUUUUAUUGAUAGAUGGGCAUUGUUUUAGAAUUUUUAUGCAAUAGGUUGCAUUUUUUUAAGAAAUUUUCUAAAAAUUGCCAUUUUAGGAAAGUUAUUACUUUUGUAGAGAAAUAUUGUAGAUUUGGGAUUGUGAUUGAGAAAUUAGGAUAACAAGAGUCUUUGUUGAUAGAUGGAUAUUCUUUUAGAUUUUUUCAACAAAAGGUUGGGAAAUUAGGAUAACAUGAGUUUUUUGUUAAUAGAUGGGCAUUCUUUUAGAAUUUUUGAGCAAUAUGUUACAUUUUUAAAAGAAAUUUCCUAAAAACUGCUAUUUUUGGAAAGUUAUUAAUUUUGUACAGCAAUAUUGUAGAUUUGAAACUCUUGUUUAGAAAUUAGGAUAACAAGAGUUUUUGUUGAUAGAUGGGCAUUCUUUUAGAAUGUUUGAUCAAUAGGUUUAAUUUUAAAUAUUUUUUUUUUAAAAUUGAUACUUUGGGAAAAUUAUCAAUUCUGUAUUGAAAUAUUGUAAAUUUGAAAUUGUGAUUAAACAAUUGAGAUAACAAGAGUUUUUGUUGAUAGAUGGGCAUUUGAUAAGAAUUUUUGAAUACUAUUUUGUAUUUCUCAAAUAAAUAUUUCUGAAACUGCUAUUUCAAGAAAGUUAUCAUUUUGUACAGAAAUAUUGUCGAUUUGGGAUUGUGAUUGAGAAUUAGGAUAGCAAGAGUUUUUUUUGAUGGAUGGGCAUUCUUUUAAAAGUUUUGAUGAAUAUGUUGCAUUUUUCAAAUAAGUUUCUUAAAAACUGCUAUUUUGGGAAUGUAAUCAUUUUUGUAGAGAAAUAUUGUAGAUUUGGGAUUGUGAUUGAGAAAUUACGAUAACAAGAGUUUUUGUUGAUAUAUGGACAUUCUUUUAGAAUUUUUGAGCAAUAGGUUGUAUUUUUUAAAAAAAAUUUCUAAAAGCUGCUAUUUUUGGAAAGUUAUUACUUUUGUGGAGAAAUAUUGUAAAAUAUUGUAGAUUUUAGAUUGUGAUUGAGAAAUUAGGAUAACAAGAGUUUUUGUUGAUAGAUGGAGAUUCUUUUAGAUUUUUUGAACAAUAGGUUGCAUCUUUUAAAUAAAUGUUCUAUAAACUUCUAUUUUAGGAAAAUUAUUAUUUUUGAAGGGAAAUAUUGUAGAUUUGGGAUUGUGAUUUAGAAAUUAGGAUAACAAGAGCUUUUUUGAUUGAUGAGCAUUAUUUUAGAAGUUUAGAUCAAUAGGUUUUAUUUUUAAAUAAAUUUUCUAAAAGGUGUUUUUUUGGGAAAGUUAUCAAUUUUGUAGAGAUAUAUUGUAGAUUUGCGAUUAUGAUUGAGAAAUUAGGAUAACAAGAGUUUUUGUUGAUCGAUGGGCAUUCUUUUAGAAUUUUUGAUCAAUAUGUUGCAUUUUUAAAUACAUUUUAUAUAAACUGCUAUUUUAGUAAAGUAAUCGUUUUUGUAGAGAAAUAUUGUCGAUUUGGGAUUGUGAUUGAAAAAUUAGGAUAACAAGAGUUUUUGUUGAUAGAUGGGCAUUCAUUUAGAAUUUUUGAGCAAUAGGUUGCAUCUUUUAGAUUUGGGAUUAUGAUUGAAAAAUUAUGAUAACAAGAAUUUUAGUUGAUAGAUAGGCAUUCUUUUAGAAUGUUUGAUCAAUAGGUUUAUUUUUAGGUAUAUUUUUUAAAAUUGCUUUUUUGGGAAAAUCAUCAAUUCUGUAUAGAAAUAAUGUAGAUUUGAAAUUGUGAUUAAGCAAUUAAUAUAACAAGAGUUUUUGUUGAUAGAUGGGCAUUUGAUAAGAAUUUUUGAAUACUAUUUUGUAUUUCUCAAAUAAAUAUUUCUGAAACUGCUAUUUUAAGAAAGUUAUCAUUUUGUACAGAAAUAUUGUCGAUUUGGGAUUGUGAUUGAGAAAUUUGAAUAACAAGAGAUUUUAUUGAUAGAUGAACAUUCUUUUAGAAUUUUUGAGCAAUAUGUUGUAUUUUUUAAGAAAUUUUGUAAAAACUGCUAUUUUUGGAAACUUAUCAUUUUUGUGGAGAAAUAUUUUAGAUUUGGGAUUGUGAUUGAGAAAUUAAGAUAACAAUAGUUUUUGUUGAUAGAUGGGAAUUUUUUUUAGAAUUUUUAAGCAAUAGGUUGCAUUUUAUAAAGAAAUUUUCUAAAAACUGCUAUUUUAGGAAAGUUAUUACUUUUGUAGAGAAAUAUUGUAGAUUUGGGAUUGUGAUUGAGAAAUUAAGAUAACAAUAGUUUUUGUUGAUAGAUGGGAAUUUUUUUUAGAAUUUUUAAGCAAUAGGUUGCAUUUUAUAAAGAAAUUUUCUAAAAACUGCUAUUUUAGGAAAGUUAUUACUUUUGUAGAGAAAUAUUGUAGAUUUGAGAUUGUGAUUUGGAAAUUAGGAUAACAAGAACUUUUUUUUUGAUAGAUGAGCAUUAUUUUAGUAUUUUUGAUCAAAAGGUUAUAUUUUUAAAUAAAUUUUCUAAAAAGUGCUAUUUCGGGAAAGUUAUCAAUUUUUGUAGAGAAAUAAUGUAGAUUUGCGAUUAUGGUUGGGAAAUUAGGAUAACAAGAUUUUUGCUGAUCGAUGGGCAUUCUUUUAGAAUUUUUGAUCAAUAUGUUGUAUUUUUUAUAUAUAUUUUAUAAGAACUGCUAUUUUAGGAAAGUCAUCAUUUUUGUAGAGAAAUAUUGUAGAUUUGAGAUUGUGAUUGAGAAUUAGGAUAACAAGAGUUUUUGUUAUAGAUGGGCUUUCUUUUAGAAUAUUUGAGCAAUAGGUUGCAUUUUUUAACGAAAUUUAAAACUGCUAGUUUAGGAAAGUUAUUACUUUUGUCGAAAAAUAUUGUAGAUUUGGAAUUGUUAUUUAGAAAUUAGAAUAACAAGAGUUUUUAUUGAUAGAUGGGCAUUUGAUAAGAAUUUUUGAAUAUUAUUUUGUAUUUUUUAAAUAAAUAUUUCUGAUACUGCUAUUUUAAGAAAGUUAUCAUUUUGUUGAAAAAUAUUAUCGAUUUGGGAUUGUGAUUGAGAAUUAGGAUAACACGAGUUUUUGUUCAAAGAUGAGCAUUCUUUUUGAAAUUAUGAUCAAUAUGUUGUAUUUUUUAAAUAAAUUUUGUAAAAACUGCUAUUUUGGUAAAGUCAUCAUUUUUGUAAAGAAAUAUUGUAGAUUUGAGAUUGUNNNNNNNNNNNNNNNNNNNNNNNNNNNNNNNNNNNNNNNNNNNNNNNNNNNNNNNNNNNNNNNNNNNNNNNNNNNNNNNNNNNNNNNNNNNNNNNNNNNNCUUUUGUCGAGAAAUAUUGAAGAUUUGAGAUUGUUAUUUAGAAAUUAGGAUAACAAGAGUUUUUAUUGAUAUAUGGGCAUUUGAUAAGAAUUUUUGAAUAUUAUUUUUUAUUUUUUAAAUAAAUAUUUCUGAUACUGCUAUUUUAAGAAAGUUACCAUUUUGUUGAGAAAUAUUGUCCAUUUGGGAUUGUGAUUGAGAAUUAGGAUAACAAGAGUUUUUUUGAUAGAUGAGCAUUUUUUUAGAAUUUUUGAUCAAUAGGUUUUAUUUUUAAAUAAAUUUUCUAAAAAGUGGUACAUGGAGAAAGUUAUCAAUUUUGUACAUAAAUAUUGUAGAUUUGUGAUUGUGAUUGAAAAAUUAGGAUAACAAGAAUUUUUGUUGAUCGAUGGCCAUUCUUUUAGAAUUUUUGACCAAUAUGUUGCAUUUUUAAAUAUAUUUUAUAAAAAUUAUUAUUUUUGGACUGUCAUCAUUUUUGUAGGGAUAAAUAUUGUAGAUUUGAGAUUAUGAUUGAGAAAUUAGGAUAACAAGAGUUUUUGUUGAUAGAGAGGCUUUUUUUAGAAUGUCUGAUAAAUAGGUUUCAUUUUAAAUAAAUUUUUUAAAAAUUGCUUUUUUUGAGAAAAUCAUCAAUUCUGUAUAGAAAUAUUGUAGAUUUGAAAUUGUGAUUAUGCAAUUGAGAUAACAAGAGUUUUUGUUGAUAGAUGGGCAUUUGAUAAGAAUUUUUGAAUACUAUUUUGUAUUUUUCAAAUAAAUAUUUCUGAAACCGCUAUUUUAAGAAAGUUAUCAGUUUGUACAGAAAUAUUGUCGAUUUGGGAUUACGAUUGAGAAAUUAGAGUAACAAGAGUUUUUGUUAAUAUAUGGACAUUCUUUUAGAAUUUUUGAGCAAUACAGUUUUAAAGAAAUUUUCUAAAAACUGCUAUUUUAGGAAACUUAUCAUUUUUGUAAAGAAAUAUUGUAGAUUUGAAAUUGUGAUUAAGCAAUGGGAAUAACAAGAGUUUUUGUUGAUAGAUGGGAAUUGUUUUAGAAUUUUUAAGCAAUAUGUUGCAUUUUUUAAAUAUAUUUUAUAAGAACUACUAUUUUAGGAAAGUCGUCAUUUUUCUAGAGAAAUAUUGUAGAUUUGGGAUUGUGAUUGAAAAAUUAGGAUAACAAGAGUUUUUGUUGAUAGAUGGGCAUUCUUUUAGAAUGUUUGAUCAAUAGAUUUAAUUUUAAAUAAUAUUUUUAAAAAUUGCUGUUUUGGGAAAAUCAUCAAUUCUGUGUAGAAAUUUUGUAGAUUUGAAAUUGCGAUUAGGCAAUUGAGAUAACAAGAGUUUUCGUUGAUAGAUGGGCAUUUGAUAAGAAUUUUUGAAUACUAUUUUGUAUUUUUCAAAUAAAUAUUUCUGAAACUGCUAUUUUAAGAAAGUUAUCAGUUUGUACAUAAAUAUUGUCGAUUUGGGAUUGCGAUUGAGAAAUUAGAGUAACAAGAGUUUUUGUUGAUAUUUGGACGUUCUUUUAGAAUUUUUGAGCAAUAUGUUGCAUUUUUAAAGAAAUUUUCUACAAACUGAUAUUUAAGGAAACUUAUCAUUUUUGUAAAGAAAUAUUGUAGAUUUGGGAUUAUGAUUGAGAAAUUAGGAUAUCAAUAGUUUUUGUUGAUAGAUGGACAUUGUUUUAGAAUUUUAAAGCAAUAGGUUGCAUUUUUUAAAGAAAUUUUCUAAAAACUACUAUUUUAGGAAAAUUAUUACUUUGUAGAGAAAUAUUGUAGAUUUGGGAUUGUGAUUGAGAAAUUAGGAUAACAAGAGUUUUUGUUGAUAGAUGGACAUUCUUUUAGAUUUUUUAAACAAUAGGUUGCAUCUUUUAAAUAAAUGUUCUAAUAACUUCUAUUUUAGGAAAAUUAUUAUUUUUGUAGAGAAAUAUGAUAGAUUUGAGAUUGUGAUUUAGAAAUUAGAAUAACAAGAACUUUUUUUUAUAGAUGAGCAUUAUUUAAGAAUUUUUGAUCAAUACGUUUUAUUUUUAAAUAAAUUUUCUAAAAAGUGCUAUUUUGGGAAUGUUAUCAAUUUUGUAGAGAAUAAUGUAGAUUUGCGAUUAUGAUUGGGAAAGUAGAAUAACAAGAGUUUUUGCUGAUCGAUGUGCAUUCUCUUAAAAAUUUUGAUCAAUAUGUUGCAUUUUUAAUGAAUUAGGAUAACAAGAGUUUUUUUGAUAGAUGAGCAUUUUUUUAGAAUUUUUGAUCAAUAGGUUUUAUUUUUAAAUAAAUUUUCUAAAAAGUGGUACAUGGAGAAAGUUAUCAAUUUUGUACAUAAAUAUUGUAGAUUUGUGAUUGUGAUUGAAAAAUUAGGAUAACAAGAAUUUUUGUUGAUCGAUGGCCAUUCUUUUAGAAUUUUUGACCAAUAUGUUGCAUUUUUAAAUAUAUUUUAUAAAAAUUAUUAUUUUUGGACUGUCAUCAUUUUUGUAGGGAUAAAUAUUGUAGAUUUGAGAUUAUGAUUGAGAAAUUAGGAUAACAAGAGUUUUUGUUGAUAGAGAGGCUUUUUUUAGAAUGUCUGAUAAAUAGGUUUCAUUUUAAAUAAAUUUUUUAAAAAUUGCUUUUUUUGAGAAAAUCAUCAAUUCUGUAUAGAAAUAUUGUAGAUUUGAAAUUGUGAUUAUGCAAUUGAGAUAACAAGAGUUUUUGUUGAUAGAUGGGCAUUUGAUAAGAAUUUUUGAAUACUAUUUUGUAUUUUUCAAAUAAAUAUUUCUGAAACCGCUAUUUUAAGAAAGUUAUCAGUUUGUACAGAAAUAUUGUCGAUUUGGGAUUACGAUUGAGAAAUUAGAGUAACAAGAGUUUUUGUUAAUAUAUGGACAUUCUUUUAGAAUUUUUGAGCAAUACAGUUUUAAAGAAAUUUUCUAAAAACUGCUAUUUUAGGAAACUUAUCAUUUUUGUAAAGAAAUAUUGUAGAUUUGAAAUUGUGAUUAAGCAAUGGGAAUAACAAGAGUUUUUGUUGAUAGAUGGGAAUUGUUUUAGAAUUUUUAAGCAAUAUGUUGCAUUUUUUAAAUAUAUUUUAUAAGAACUACUAUUUUAGGAAAGUCGUCAUUUUUCUAGAGAAAUAUUGUAGAUUUGGGAUUGUGAUUGAAAAAUUAGGAUAACAAGAGUUUUUGUUGAUAGAUGGGCAUUCUUUUAGAAUGUUUGAUCAAUAGAUUUAAUUUUAAAUAAUAUUUUUAAAAAUUGCUGUUUUGGGAAAAUCAUCAAUUCUGUGUAGAAAUUUUGUAGAUUUGAAAUUGCGAUUAGGCAAUUGAGAUAACAAGAGUUUUCGUUGAUAGAUGGGCAUUUGAUAAGAAUUUUUGAAUACUAUUUUGUAUUUUUCAAAUAAAUAUUUCUGAAACUGCUAUUUUAAGAAAGUUAUCAGUUUGUACAUAAAUAUUGUCGAUUUGGGAUUGCGAUUGAGAAAUUAGAGUAACAAGAGUUUUUGUUGAUAUUUGGACGUUCUUUUAGAAUUUUUGAGCAAUAUGUUGCAUUUUUAAAGAAAUUUUCUACAAACUGAUAUUUAAGGAAACUUAUCAUUUUUGUAAAGAAAUAUUGUAGAUUUGGGAUUAUGAUUGAGAAAUUAGGAUAUCAAUAGUUUUUGUUGAUAGAUGGACAUUGUUUUAGAAUUUUAAAGCAAUAGGUUGCAUUUUUUAAAGAAAUUUUCUAAAAACUACUAUUUUAGGAAAAUUAUUACUUUGUAGAGAAAUAUUGUAGAUUUGGGAUUGUGAUUGAGAAAUUAGGAUAACAAGAGUUUUUGUUGAUAGAUGGACAUUCUUUUAGAUUUUUUAAACAAUAGGUUGCAUCUUUUAAAUAAAUGUUCUAAUAACUUCUAUUUUAGGAAAAUUAUUAUUUUUGUAGAGAAAUAUGAUAGAUUUGAGAUUGUGAUUUAGAAAUUAGAAUAACAAGAACUUUUUUUUAUAGAUGAGCAUUAUUUAAGAAUUUUUGAUCAAUACGUUUUAUUUUUAAAUAAAUUUUCUAAAAAGUGCUAUUUUGGGAAUGUUAUCAAUUUUGUAGAGAAUAAUGUAGAUUUGCGAUUAUGAUUGGGAAAGUAGAAUAACAAGAGUUUUUGCUGAUCGAUGUGCAUUCUCUUAAAAAUUUUGAUCAAUAUGUUGCAUUUUUAAUUAUAUUUUAUAAAAAUUAUUAUUUUUGGACUGUCAUCAUUUUUGUAGGGAUAAAUAUUGUAGAUUUGAGAUUAUUAUUGAGAAAUUGGGAUAACAAGAGUUUUUAUUGAUAGAUGGGCAUUCUUUUAGAAUGUUUGAUCAAUAUGUUUAAUUUUAAUUAAAUUUUUUAAAAAUUGCUUUUUUGGGAAAAUCAUCAAUUCUGUAUAGAAAUAUUGUAGAUUUGAAAUUGUGAUUAAGCAAUUGAGAUAACAAGAGUUUUUGUUGAUAGAUGGACAUUUGAUAAGAAUUUUUGAAUACUAUUUUGUAUUUUUCAAAUAAAUAUUUCUGAAACCGCUAUUUUAAAAAAGUUAUCAGUUUGUACCGAAAUAUUGUCGAUUUGAGAUUGGGAUUGAGAAAUUAGAGUAACAAAAGUUUUUGUUGAUAUAAGAACAUUCUUUUAGAAUUUUUGAGCAAUACGUUGCAUUUUUAAAGAAAUUUUCUAAAAACUGCUAUUUUAGGAAACUUAUCAUUUUUGUAAAGAGAUAUUGUAGAUUUGGGAUUGUGAUUAAGCAACGGGAAUAACAAGAGUUUUUGUUGAUAGAUGGGAAAUGUUUUAGAAUUUUUAAACAAUAUGUUGCAUUUUUUAAUUAUAUUUUAUAAGAACUACUAUUUUUGGAAAGUCGUCAUUUUUGUAGAGAAAUAUUGUAGAUUUGGGAUUGUGAUUGAGAAAUUAGGUAACAAGAGUUUUUGUCGAUAGAUGGGCAUUCUUUUAGAAUGUUUGAUCAAUAGGUUUAAUUUUAAAUAAUAUUUUUAAAAAUUGCUUUUUUGGGAAAAUCAUCAAUUCUGUGUAGAAAUAUUGUAGAUUUGAAAUUGCGAUUAGGCAAUUGAGAUAACAAGAGUUUUUGUCGGUAGAUGGGCAUUUGAUAAGAAUUUUUGAAUACUAUUUUGUAUUUUUCAAAUAAAUAUUUCUAAAACAGCUAUUUUAAAAAAGUUAUCAGUUUGUACAUAAAUAUUGUCGAUUUGGGAUUGCGAUUGAGAAAUUAGAGUAACAAGAGUUUUUGUUGAUAUUUGGACAUUCUUUUAGAAUUUUUGAGCAAUAUGUUGUAUUUUAAAGAAAUUUUCUAAAAACUGCUAUUUUAGGAAACAUAUCAUUUUUGUAAAGAGAUAUUGUAGAUUUGGGAUUGUGAUUGAGAAAUUAGGAUAUCAAUAGUUUUUGUUGAUAGAUGGGCAUUGUUUUAGAAUUUUUAAGCAAUAGGUUGCAUUUUUUAAAGAAAUUUUCUAAAAACUGCUAUUUUAGGAAAGUUAUUAUUUUUGUAGAGAAAUAUUGUAGAUUUGAGAUUGUGAUUUAGAAAUUAGGAUAACAAGAACUUUUUUUUAUAGAUGAGCAUUAUUUAAGAGUUUUUGAUCAAUACGUUUUAUGUUUAAAUAAAUUUUCUAAAAAGUGCUAUUUUGGGAAAGUUAUCAAUUUUGUAGAGAAAUAAUGUAGAUUUGCGAUUAUGAUUGGGAAAUUAAGAUAACAAGGUUUUUUGCUGAUCGAUGUGCAUUCUUUUAAAAAAUUUGAUCAAUAGGUUGCAUUUUUAAAUAUAUUUUAUAAAUAUUAUUAUUUUUGGACUGUCAUCAUUUUUGUAGGGAUAAAUAUUGUAGAUUUGGGAUUAUGAUUGAGAAAUUAGGAUAACAAGAGUUUUUGUUGAUAGAUGGGCAUUCUUUUAGAAUGUUUGAUCAAUAGGUUUAAUUUUAAAUAAAUUUUUUAAAAAUUGCUUUUUUGAGAAAAUCAUCAAUUAUGUAUAGAAAUAUUGUAGAUUUGAAAUUGUGAUUAAGCAAUUUAGAUAAUAAGAGUUUUUGUUGAUAGAUGGACAUUUGAUAAUAAUUUUUGAAUACUAUUUUGUAUUUUUCAAAUAAAUAUUUCUGAAACCGCUAUUUUAAGAAAGUUAUUAGUUUGUACCGAAAUAUUGUCGAUUUGGGAUUGCGAUUGAGAAAUUAGAGUAACAAAAGUUUUUGUUGAUAUAAGGACAUUCUUUUAGAAUUUUUGAGCAAUGUGUUGCAUUUUUAAAGAAAUUUUCUAAGAACUGCUAUUUUAGGAAACUUAUCAUUUUUGUAAAAAAAUAUUGUAGAUUUGGGAUUGUGAUUGAGAAAUUAGGAUAUCAAUAGUUUUUGUUGAUAGAUGGGCAUUGUUUUAGAAUUUUUAAGCAAUAGUUUGCAUUUUUAAAAAUAAUUUCUAAAAACUGCUAUUUUAGGAAAAUUAUUACUUUGUAGAGAAAUAUUGUAGAUUUGGGAUUGUGAUUGAGAAAUUAGGAUAUCAAUAGUUUUUGUUGAUAGAUGGGCAUUGUUUUAGAAUUUUUAAGCAAUAGUUUGCAUUUUUAAAAAUAAUUUCUAAAAACUGCUAUUUUAGGAAAAUUAUUACUUUGUAGAGAAAUAUUGUAGAUUUGGGAUUGUGAUUGAGAAAUUAGGAUAUCAAUAGUUUUUUGAGCAAUAUGUUGCAUUUUUAAAGAAAUUUUCUAAAAACUGCAAUUUUAGGAAAUUUAUCAUUUUUGGUAAGAAAUAUUGUAGAUUUGGGAUUGUGAUUGAGAAAUUAGGAUAUCAAUAGUUUUUUGAGCAAUAUGUUGCAUUUUUAAAGAAAUUUUCUAAAAACUGCAAUUUUAGGAAAUUUAUCAUUUUUGGUAAGAAAUAUUGUAGAUUUGGGAUUGUGAUUGAGAAAUUAGGAUAUCAAUAGUUUUUUGAGCAAUAUGUUGCAUUUUUAAAGAAAUUUUCUAAAAACUGCAAUUUUAGGAAAUUUAUCAUUUUUGGUAAGAAAUAUUGUAGAUUUGGGAUUGUGAUUGAGAAAUUAGGAUAUCAAUAGUUUUUUGAGCAAUAUGUUGCAUUUUUAAAGAAAUUUUCUAAAAACUGCAAUUUUAGGAAAUUUAUCAUUUUUGGUAAGAAAUAUUGUAGAUUUGGGAUUGUGAUUGAGAAAUUAGGAUAUCAAUAGUUUUUUGAGCAAUAUGUUGCAUUUUUAAAGAAAUUUUCUAAAAACUGCAAUUUUAGGAAAUUUAUCAUUUUUGGUAAGAAAUAUUGUAGAUUUGGGAUUGUGAUUGAGAAAUUAGGAUAUCAAUAGUUUUUUGAGCAAUAUGUUGCAUUUUUAAAGAAAUUUUCUAAAAACUGCAAUUUUAGGAAAUUUAUCAUUUUUGGUAAGAAAUAUUGUAGAUUUGGGAUUGUGAUUGAGAAAUUAGGAUAUCAAUAGUUUUUUGAGCAAUAUGUUGCAUUUUUAAAGAAAUUUUCUAAAAACUGCAAUUUUAGGAAAUUUAUCAUUUUUGGUAAGAAAUAUUGUAGAUUUGGGAUUGUGAUUGAGAAAUUAGGAUAUCAAUAGUUUUUUGAGCAAUAUGUUGCAUUUUUAAAGAAAUUUUCUAAAAACUGCAAUUUUAGGAAAUUUAUCAUUUUUGGUAAGAAAUAUUGUAGAUUUGGGAUUGUGAUUGAGAAAUUAGGAUAUCAAUAGUUUUUUGAGCAAUAUGUUGCAUUUUUAAAGAAAUUUUCUAAAAACUGCAAUUUUAGGAAAUUUAUCAUUUUUGGUAAGAAAUAUUGUAGAUUUGGGAUUGUGAUUGAGAAAUUAGGAUAUCAAUAGUUUUUUGAGCAAUAUGUUGCAUUUUUAAAGAAAUUUUCUAAAAACUGCAAUUUUAGGAAAUUUAUCAUUUUUGGUAAGAAAUAUUGUAGAUUUGGGAUUGUGAUUGAGAAAUUAGGAUAUCAAUAGUUUUUUGAGCAAUAUGUUGCAUUUUUAAAGAAAUUUUCUAAAAACUGCAAUUUUAGGAAAUUUAUCAUUUUUGGUAAGAAAUAUUGUAGAUUUGGGAUUGUGAUUGAGAAAUUAGGAUAUCAAUAGUUUUUUGAGCAAUAUGUUGCAUUUUUAAAGAAAUUUUCUAAAAACUGCAAUUUUAGGAAAUUUAUCAUUUUUGGUAAGAAAUAUUGUAGAUUUGGGAUUGUGAUUGAGAAAUUAGGAUAUCAAUAGUUUUUUGAGCAAUAUGUUGCAUUUUUAAAGAAAUUUUCUAAAAACUGCAAUUUUAGGAAAUUUAUCAUUUUUGGUAAGAAAUAUUGUAGAUUUGGGAUUGUGAUUGAGAAAUUAGGAUAUCAAUAGUUUUUUGAGCAAUAUGUUGCAUUUUUAAAGAAAUUUUCUAAAAACUGCAAUUUUAGGAAAUUUAUCAUUUUUGGUAAGAAAUAUUGUAGAUUUGGGAUUGUGAUUGAGAAAUUAGGAUAUCAAUAGUUUUUUGAGCAAUAUGUUGCAUUUUUAAAGAAAUUUUCUAAAAACUGCAAUUUUAGGAAAUUUAUCAUUUUUGGUAAGAAAUAUUGUAGAUUUGGGAUUGUGAUUGAGAAAUUAGGAUAUCAAUAGUUUUUUGAGCAAUAUGUUGCAUUUUUAAAGAAAUUUUCUAAAAACUGCAAUUUUAGGAAAUUUAUCAUUUUUGGUAAGAAAUAUUGUAGAUUUGGGAUUGUGAUUGAGAAAUUAGGAUAUCAAUAGUUUUUUGAGCAAUAUGUUGCAUUUUUAAAGAAAUUUUCUAAAAACUGCAAUUUUAGGAAAUUUAUCAUUUUUGGUAAGAAAUAUUGUAGAUUUGGGAUUGUGAUUGAGAAAUUAGGAUAUCAAUAGUUUUUUGAGCAAUAUGUUGCAUUUUUAAAGAAAUUUUCUAAAAACUGCAAUUUUAGGAAAUUUAUCAUUUUUGGUAAGAAAUAUUGUAGAUUUGGGAUUGUGAUUGAGAAAUUAGGAUAUCAAUAGUUUUUUGAGCAAUAUGUUGCAUUUUUAAAGAAAUUUUCUAAAAACUGCAAUUUUAGGAAAUUUAUCAUUUUUGGUAAGAAAUAUUGUAGAUUUGGGAUUGUGAUUGAGAAAUUAGGAUAUCAAUAGUUUUUUGAGCAAUAUGUUGCAUUUUUAAAGAAAUUUUCUAAAAACUGCAAUUUUAGGAAAUUUAUCAUUUUUGGUAAGAAAUAUUGUAGAUUUGGGAUUGUGAUUGAGAAAUUAGGAUAUCAAUAGUUUUUUGAGCAAUAUGUUGCAUUUUUAAAGAAAUUUUCUAAAAACUGCUUUUUUAGGAACUUUAUCAUUUUUGUAAAGAAAUAUUGUAGAUUUGAAAUUGUGAUUAAGCAAUUGAAAUAACAAGAGUUUUUGUUGAUAGAUGGGCAUUGUUUUAGAUUUUUUUAGCAAUAUGUUGUAUUUUUAAAAUAUAUUUUAUAAGAACUGCUAUUUUAGGAAAGUCGUUAUUUUUGUAGAGAAAUAUUGUAGAUUUGGGAUUGUGAUUAAGAAAUUGGGAUAACAAGAAUUUUUGUUGAUCGAAAGACAUUCUUUUAUUAUUUUUGAUCACUAUGUUGCAUUUUUUAAAUACAUUUUAUAAAAAUUUUCUAAAACCUGCUAUUUUGGGAAAGCCAUCAUUUUUGUUGAGAAAUAUCGUAGAUUUGAGAUUGUGAUUGAGAAAUUAUGAUAACAAAAGUUUUUGUUGAUAGAUGGACAUUCUUUUAGAAUUUUUGAGCAAUAGGUUGCAUUUUAUAAGAAAUUUUAUAAGAACUGCUAUUUUAGGAAAGUUAUUAUUUUUGUGGAGAAAUAUUGUAGAUUUGGGAUUGUUAUUGAGAAAUUAGGAUAACAAGAGUUUUUGUUCAUAGAUGGAUAGUGUUUUAGAUUUUUUGAACAAUAGGUUGCAUCUUUUAAAUAAAUGUUCUAUAAACUUCUAUUUUAGGAAAAUUAUUAUUUUUGUAGAGAAAUAUUGUAGAUUUGGGAUUGUGAUUUAGAAAUUAGGAAAACAAAAGUCUUUUUUGAUAGAUGAGCAUUAUUUUAGAAUUUUUGAUCAAUAGGUUUUAUUUUAAAAUAAAUUUUCUAAACAGUGCUAUUUUGGGAAAGUUAUCAAUUUUGUAGAGAAAUAUUGUAGCUUUGCGAUUAUGAUUGAGAAAUUAGGAUAACAAGAGUUUUUGUUGAUCGAUGGGCAUUCUUUUACAAUUUUUGAUCAAUAUGUUCACUACAAGAAAACAUAUUUUUUACUAGGGCAGUAUUCGUUGUAAAUUCGUCGUAAACGGGGUGUUACGACGAAUUAACGUCGAAAGACGUUUCGUUGUUAAACGUCCGUCGUAACGGAGGUUUCGUCGUAAACGACUCGUUACGUUUACGACGAAAUAUAUUCCUCGUAAAGCGCAGGUAAAGGAUUCGUCGUAAACGACACGUAAGCUUUCGUCGUAAAGCCCACGUAAUUAUUUCGAUGUAAAGCACAGGUAAAUACAUUCGUUGUAAAUCACUCGUAAACAUUUCGAUGUAAAACUCUCGUAAAUGUUUCGAUGUUAAUCACUCGUAAACAUUCGAUGUAAACUCCAUGUAAUGUUUACGAGGAGUUUACAUCGUUUCUUAUUAUAUUAUUAUUAAUUAGUAUAUAAUAAAUUUUAAUUUAUAUUUAAUAUUCAGAAUUUAAAAUAAUUUAAAUUUUAAAACGAAAUAUGAAAUUGGAAAACAUAUUUUAAAAAGUCAUACAAUAAUAUUUAAAUUCAUAAUACAAACAGAAAAAAUAAAAAAAACUACAUAUUCUCGAAGUAGUUGGGGGGUUGCUCGGCUGUUGACGGGUUGGAUCGGACUCUUGGGGAUCUCGUGGUGGCAUUCCAAGAGCGGCUCGUCUCUCACUCAACAUUCUCUGCAUAACCGGGUUUCCCACGGCCAUCACGUCUAGCAAAUCCUCAAGAGAGUCUAAACGACCCUGCUGGCUAUCCAUUCGAGCCUUCAUCUGAGCAGUCUCUUCAUCCCGUCUCGAAGUGUAUGACGAAGUUGUCCUUGCAACUUCGUUAACAAAGCCUAUACCGACUAUCCGUCCCUUCUUUUUAGGAGCCACCUAUAAAAUCAAAACAUAUAUUAAUAUAGUUAAUUAUGUUAAAAUAUUUAAAAUAAUGUAAACAAAAAUUUUAAGUUGUACCUCUUCGAAGAUUUUGUCGACCUCUUCGGUGGACAAUGUGACUGGUAAUCCAUCGGGAGACUCCUGGGUUAGUUGCGUCUCCCGUUCUUCAAUCCGACCAGCCACUGUUUGGAAGAGUUUCUCAGAUGCAGGAUCCACAAAAACUCCGUCGGAUGUGGCGUGAGUCAUCUUGAAUAGGUCAGACAGAGAAGGUAAGACUCCCGUCUUCUCGAACUACAAAAAAAAAAUUAAAUUAAAUAUUAUAAAUUAUAUUAAUUGAAUAUUUUAAAAUAUAUAUUUAAAACAAAACUUACAGCUUCUAGACGGACUCCUGCAUGAGGUUUUUGUCCGGUUCUGUGAAGCAUGGGCAAAUGACCAUCUUUAUCCUUCGUCCUUCGAGAAGCCGAGCACGAAUUGGCCUUUUUGAUCGAAGAGGGGUGCUCCCAAUAGGCGAUGAGGCCAUCCCACACAUCCGUCGUGAGCUCAGUGGGCUUUCCCUCAUACCCGUAGAUCUCCCACUUGUCCUUCCAAUCAGAGACUGUGUUGCAGAGGCGUAUCUUUGCCUUUGCAACGAAUUCCGCCUUCACCCUCUCGGUGAUUCCCAAAGACCAAUGCCACUUUUGCUGAAACAUAAAAAUUUUGAAAAAAUUACAAUUAAUAAUAAAUAUUAAAAAUAUAUAUAUAUAUAUAAAAGUGAAAAUUUAAUUAAAUUUAAAAAUCUUACCGCAAAACAUUUAAACCACGUGAUCUUAACGUGAUUUGGUGUCUUGCUCCAGUUCGGGUAUGCCCCGUCGUAGUAACCCUUAAUCGUCGCCGAAACGCUCCGGCUAACACGGUUGUUAGCCCCAAACCUGAAAAAAAAAAAUUUUAACCGUUACAAAAUAAAAAUUAAUUAAAUUUUAAAGUAAUAAAAAUUAAUAACUUACCAAUAAGUUCCUCGGGGUCUAUCGGGGUCUAGAACAUCCAAACCCUCCCGUCCAGGCUGGGCAAGCAAAUCCUCCACCGUAUAUCUCGCGAAGGGAGCAUAUGAAGGCACACGCAAAUCCGGAUGAACUGCACCUUCUGGGACAGGCUCAGGUGCAGCCGCUGGAGGAGGAGGUGGAGGCAUCUGCGGUGGAAGAGGAGGACUCGAAAAAACUCUCUGAGAAGUCUGAGAGUCUGGAACUGCAUCGGAAGACGAUGGACCGGAAGAAGAUGUACCGGAACCAUCGCCAAACAACUGGGCAUAAGUAGGUGCUGCUGGUUUCCUUCUAGGAGCCAUCUAAAAAAAAUUUAAAUAAAUUUAAUCAAUUAUGACGACAUAAUUAAAAAAUUAUUCUGUUACCUAACUAAUCACCUAAACUAUAGUAUUCCGUCAUCUAACUAAUCACCUAAACUAAUUAUCUAAAUAAUCACCUAAACUAAUUACCUAACUAAUUAAUAACCUAAACUAACUUAAAAAAAAAAAGAAGGAGGGAAGAGAAUGUACCUUAGGGAGAGGAGAGGAGUUUAGGAGGAAUGGACGAGGCAGCCUCGUCUCGGCGUCCCAAUAUAUAAAAAAUGUUUCGUCGUAAACGCGACGUAACAUUACGACGAAGUUACCAGGCCCGCGUUUUUUCAUUUACGACGAAGUUACCAGGCCCGCGUUUUUCGAUUUACGACGAAAUUACGUCGAAACAUCGGUUUACGACGAAUUUACAAGGCCCACGUUUACGACGAAGUUACCAGGCCCGCGUUUUUCCAUUUACGACGAAAUUACGUGGAAACAUCGGUUUACGACGAUUUUACAACGCUUAACCCUAAACACCGAGAAUGAAAUCCCUAAACCCCAAAGUCACAUAUCAUCUAACAUCAUAUCUCUUCUUCUCUACUACUUUGUGCUCUUUCUCCAACUUAAACUCUAAAACCCUAAAACUCCAAAUAAUUUUUUUAAAAUUAACACAAAUACAUAUUAUAUAAAACAACAUUUGUUACACAUACAUUAGGAUGGUAAAAAAACAAUAUAUCUUUAAACAUACGUUACAAUAGAGAAAUACAACAUUUGUUACAUAUAUUACAUCACUCUAAAUCGUUUUCGUUCUCAUCAAUAUUACAUCACUCUAAAUCGUUUUCGUUCUCAUCACUAUCAUUACAAUCAUCCAAUAGGGUAGAUCCUUCCAAUAGGGUAGCUCCCAAAAUAUACUCUUCUCAAUAUGCAUGACAUCCAUAUUGUGGCGUAAGAGAAGAUCCUUCCAAUAGGGUAGCUCCCAAAAUAUACUCUUCUUAUGCCAAUUGUGAGACACACCAUACCCAUCAGACAUAUUUCCAGGAACAUGCCAAUUUCCUCCAACUCUAAUUGUUUCCUGAGCUCCGUAAUAAUCAAUGUCUGCUUCGAUCUGCUGGCCGGUGAGAUAUGGAGGAGGACCGUAUCUGACAAUUUUUUUGUGCCGAAACAAUGUCUUAUUUCUUCUGUACGGAUGGGCAAGUGGAAGAAAGCGACGAUGACAGUCAAACCAACAACUCUUCCUACCAUUCUUCAGUUGAAAAGCAUCCGUCGAUCCAAGACAAUAUGGACAAGAUAAUCUUCCAUGUGUUGUCCAGCCAGACAACAUCCCAUAAGCAGGGAAAUCACUUAUCGUCCACAGCAGAACUGCUCGCAUCGUAAAAUUGUUUUUCAAGGAACAAUCGUACGUCCUCACCCCUUCUGACCACAAUUGCUUUAGCUCUUCUAUCAACGGUUGAAGAAAAACAUCAAGAGACCGUUUUGGAUGCUUCGGCCCAGGGAUUAAUAUGGUCAAAAAUAGAAAUUCUUGUUCCAUGCACAUAUCCGGCGGUAAAUUGUANNNNNNNNNNNNNNNNNNNNNNNNNNNNNNNNNNNNNNNNNNNNNNNNNNNNNNNNNNNNNNUAAAGCGCAUUGAAUACACGUUUUCACCUAAAUAUAACGGUAACAUGUUUCGUUGUAAUGUCGAUGUAAUGAUUACGACGUAUUUCUCAUUCCACGUACAUUCGUCGUAAACUUACAUGGAUUUUACGACGAAACCUGUUCGUCGUAAAUUUACAUGGCGUUUACGACGAAAGUUGGAUUCCUCGUAACUUCGUUGUAAACACCAUGUAAAUUUACGACGAAAUAUUUUCGUCGUAAAUCUUCGUUGUUAUGGGCACGUUUUCUUGUAGUGGUUGUAUUUUUUAAAUAUAUUUUAUAAGAACUGCUAUUUUAGGAAAGUCAUCAUUUUUGUAGAGAAAUAUUGUAGAUUUGGGAUUGUGAUUGAGAAAUUAGGAUAACAAGAGUUUUUGUUAGUAGAUGGGCAUUCUUUUAUAAUAUUUGAGCAAUUGAUUGCAUUUUUAAAAUAAAUUUUGUAAAAACUGAUAUUUUAGGAAAGUUAUUACUUUUGUAGAGAAAUAUUUUGGAUUUGAGAUUGUGAUUUAGAAAUUAGGAUAACAAGAGUUUUUGUUGAUAGAUGGACAUUCUUUUAGAAUUUUUGAGCAAAAGGUUGCAUCUUUUAAAUAAGUUUUCUAUAAACUUCUCUUUUAGGAAAAUUAUCAUUUUUGUAGACAAAUAUUGUAGAUUUGGGAUUGUGAUUUAGAAUAACAAGAGUUUUUUUUUUAUAGAUGGACAUUCUUUUAGAAUUUUUGAUCAAUAGGUUUUAUUUUUAAAUAAAUUUUCUAAAAAGUGCUAUAUGGAGAAAGUUAUCAAUUUUGUAGAGAAAUAUUGUAGAUUUGAGAUUGUGAUUGAGAAAUUAGGAUAACAAUAGUUUUUGUUGAUCGAUGGGCAUUCUUUUAUAAUUUUUGAUCAAUAUGUUGCAUUUUAAAAUAUAUUUUAUAAAAAUUAUUAUUUUUGGAAAGUCAUCAUUUUUGUAGAAAUAAAUAUUGUAAAUUUGGGAUUGUGAUUGAGAAAUUAGGAUAACAAGAGUUUUUGUUGAUAGAUUGACAUUCUUUUAGAAUUUUUGAGCAAUAGGUUGCAUUUUUUAAAAUAAAUUUUCUAAAAACUGUAAUUUUGGGAAAAUUGUCAAAUUUGUUGAGAUAUAUUGUAUAUUUGCAAUUGUGAUUAAGCAAUGGGAAUAACAAGAGUUUUUGUUGAUAGAUGGACAUUUGCUUAGAGUUUUUGAUCAUUAAGUUGUAUUUUUAAAAUAAAUAUUCCUGAAACUGUUAUUUUAGGAAAGUUAUCAUUUUUGUAGUAAAUAUUGUAGAUUUGAAAUUCUGAUUUAGAAAUAGGAUAACAAGAGUUUUGGUUGAUAGAUUGACAUUCUUUUAUAAUUUUUGAUCAAUAUGUUGCAUUUUUUAAAUAAAUUUUGUAAAAACUGCUAUUUUGGUAAAGUCAUCAUUUUUGUAGAGAAAUAUUGUAGAUUUGGGAUUGUGAUUGAGAAAUUAAGAUAACAAGAGUUUUGUUAAUAAAUGAUCAUUCUUUUAAAAUUUUUGAGUAAUAUGUUGCAUUUUUAAAAGAGAUUUUCUAAAAACUGUUAUUUUAGGAAAGUUAUUAAUUUUGUAGAGAAAUAUUGUAGAUUUGAAACUCUUGUUUAGAAAUUAGGAUAACAAGAGUUUUUGUUGAUAGAUGGACAUUCUUUUAGAAUGUUUGAUCAAUAGAUUUUCUAAAAACUGCUAUUUUAGGAAAGUUAUUACUUUUGUAGAGAAAUAUUGUUGAUUUGGGAUUGUGAUUGAGAAAUUCGGAUAACAAGAGUUUUUGUUGAUCGAUGGACAUUCUUUUAGAAUUUUUGAUCAAUAUGUUGCAUUUUUUAAAUACAUUUUAUAAAAACUGUUUUUUUAGGAAAAUCAUCAUUUUUGUAGAGAAAUAUUGUAGAUUUGGAAUUGUGAUUGAGAAAUUAGGAUAACAAGAGUUUCUGUUGAUAGAUUGUCAUUCUUUUAGAAGUUUUGAACAAUAUGUUGCAUUUUUUAAAUAAAUAUUUUAAAAGCUGCUAUUUUAGGAAAAUUAUUACUUUUGUAGAGAAAUAUUGUAGAUUUUAAAAUGUGAUUAAGCAAGUGGGAUAACAAGAGUUUUUGUUGAUAGAUAUGCAUUUUUUUAAGAAUUUUUUAUCAUUAUGUUGCAUUUUUAAAAUAAAUAUUUUUGAAACCAUUAUUUUAGAAAAAUUAUGAUUUUUGUAGUUAAAUAUUGUAAAUUUGAAAUUUUGAUUUAAUCCAUCAAUGUACCUACAACUACAUUAACAAACCAAAUUAAUUGCAGAGGACCAUAUUGGCAAUCGAGACCAUCCUUUAUCUUCUUCACCACCGGAUCCUACCCAGAAAUAUAUACAUUCAACCAAAUAUUUAUAUAUUAUUUACUCACCGGCAACCAGUGUAUAGAAAAAAUAAAUCCGGACAAAGUGAACAAGUUGUGAAAUCUAAUUACGCCAACUUCAAUUUUAUAUUCUCAAUCUCCUAAAUAUUAAUUGAGAAUCAUUUAAAAAAAUUGUAACCUUAAAUGUGUACUAAUUAAAAAGAGACACUGCUUAGGUGUCGAUUAAUUAAGAUGACAAUUAGCUUACGUGGCAGCUUAAGAAUCAAUUGAAAAAAUGUUCGUCCAAAUCCAAUUACUAGGAAAUAUUAUAUUAAAUCAAAAUAUAAGAAUAAUGUAUUAUUUUCUUAAAUAAAAACUACAGAAUUACCUAAUAUGAUUAACAUCUGACUAUGAAUAAUAAAGAUUUGAUAACAAUUUUUGCAUCCUUCUUCAUUUUUUUUUAAUUUUAUAUUAUUAAAAAAAAUAACCAUAUAAUUAAAAAAAUUAGAUAUUUUCUUAUAUGAUAUAUUCUGAAUUUAACAAAAACGAAUUUAAAUUACAAAAAUGUAAGUUUUACUUAAACAUACGACUAAAAACAUUAAAAUGACAUGUAUUAAUUCAAUGGUUGAUCUGAAACCUUUCAAAACCAUAUGGAAGAUAAAUGUCAAAAUAAUUCAACAGUGGAAACAAUACUAUUCACUUUUUUCAAGAAUGUGUUCGGUGAAAAAAACAAGGUUUUUGUGUCAUAGUUUGUUUAAUGUCAAAUCCGAUCAACCUAUGAUAUAUUAGUUUAGUUCCACAACUUUUAAUAAAAAGUGAUCCGGUCUAUGGAAAGAAAUUAUAUAAUAAUAACAAAAAACAUUGUAUAUGUAUAAAUAAAAUGAUCAAAUAUAUAAAAAUAAUUGUCAAUAAUAUAUACAAAUAAACUCACCAUGCGCAAGGCGCAUGUCUUAUCCUAGUUUUACUUAUAAAAUUGGUCAUUUGGCAAAUUAUCUCUCAACUUUUUUUUAAAAGUUUUUACCAUACAUUAAUGGGUCAUUUUGCUCUAUAUUUAUAAGGGAAGAAAAAAUAAAGAAUAUAGGUAUACUACAGUAAUAUGUAUUUGAUAAGACAUUUUCACCACCAAAUUGACCAUAUUCUUUCUACAAGCAUGUGGAUGUGCGAAUGAUAAUAUCCAAAUAACAAAACACAUUAUAAUAUAUCAGUUAAAUAUAUAGUAUAAAAUAUUCGUUCAUAACAAUAACAUAUAUAGCAAUAACAUAUUAACAUAUAUAAAAUAUUAUUAUUUUACUAACUGCGAAAGAAAAAAGGAAAGGAAAAAGAGGGACGAAUGGGGGAAAGAGGAAAGAGGCCAGAGGGGAGGAGGAAUAGAGGGAGGAUGGAGAAGUGAAGGGAGGGGAGAAAGGAGAAAGGAAGAGGGAGAUGGAGAGGAUGAAUAGAACGAAGUUAAAAAAAAGUGAAAAGAAGUGAGAAGAAAGAAGAAAAAGUAGUAGAAAAGAAGAAUGUUAUAAUAUAUUAUACUAUAUUUUAAAUAUAAAAGUAUAUUAUAUUAGUUACAAUAUAUUAGAAAUGAUUAUAUUGGUUGUAGGAGAAAAAAAUGCAACAAGAGAGAAAUUGUAUAUUCAUUUUUAAUGUAUGUAAAAUGUUGUAAAAAGGAAAUGUUAAUUUUAAAUUUUCACAAACCAUGGUUUUCAUAAUGAAAAUACAGAUUUAUCAUAAAAAUAUGAAAUUUGUUAUAAAUAUGGACUAUUCUAUAAAAAUAAUAUAUAAUAGAAAAUCCUUUUUGCUAAGAUCAAUUUACACAUUUCGUUGAAAUUUUUUAAGUCAAUUUAGAAAAAUUUAGAUAUGGCAUAUGUGAAAAAAAUAUAUUUUUUCUUACUAUUAAUACUUAACUAUAACUAAUUAAUUGAAGCCCUACAGAUCAAACUAAAUCAGAGGGAAAGAAGAAAAAGAAAAAUAGAAACCCAAGUUAAUCUAGUUUUGUGAUUGGUCGGAGACAGAUAGUGUAAUAUUACACAAAAUAUACAGAAUAUUGUAGCCAUAUCAUUGCUAUGUGUAUUAUUUAUGUUAAUUUAUAUUCUACAAUGGACAUGAAUCCGGAGUGACUUAGACAAAAUUUUUUUAUCAAUAACCUCAUAUCAAUCAAUCGAAUAUUGAUUAAUACAUAAUCGAUCGAACACUACUUGUUUCAACGGCUCUUCCGCUCAGAAACGAAAUGUUACACUUCCCUACAUUAAUUUCCUUUCUUGGGAACUUCAGAUAAACCCAUUAAAGUGAGAAAAGAAAAAGUCCAGUAAAAGCCCAGACCAAUAAUCUCGAGUUUCUAACCUAGAUAUAAAUACAAACAUCUACUAGUGAUUAGCUCACAGCGCUUCACCUAUCUUCUCGAGAUUAUUUCAGCAAUUUAGGGUUUCAGUUAUCCGCAGCAGCUGCACACAUCAAACAUGGCGACUCAGAUUAGCAAGAAGAGAAAGGUGAGCUUGUAAACUUCUUCUUUUCAUUCAAUAGAUCCCUUUCGCUGCAUCGUAUGCUGAACUGAUUCCUAGAGUUCUGUAGUUUGUAGCUGACGGUGUAUUCUAUGCCGAGCUGAACGAGGUUCUAACCAGAGAGCUUGCGGAAGAUGGUUACUCUGGUGUUGAAGUUAGGGUUACUCCGAUGAGGACUGAGAUUAUCAUCAGAGCCACACGUACUCAAAAUGUUCUCGGUAUGUGUUGGUUCCAACCUUCCUUUUGAAUCGAAAGCUUCGGACUUAUGUGUUAAUUGGUUUCAUUGGAUAUUAUUAUAGGUGAGAAGGGAAGGAGGAUCAGAGAAUUGACGUCUCUUGUCCAGAAGAGAUUCAGGUUUCCUCAAGACAGCGUUGAGCUUUACGCUGAAAAGGUUGCCAACAGAGGUCUCUGCGCCAUUGCUCAGGCUGAGUCUCUCCGUUACAAGCUCCUCGGUGGUCUUGCUGUCCGCAGGUAUAUACAUUUCUAUGGCUCUCUUAGGUUUGAACUGAGAGAAUUGAUUUGUUAGUUUGUUACACAUAUGUUGAGAAGUCAGAUUAGUAGAUAGUAUAUGGUUUGUGUUUUGUAUAAUUCUAGGCUUAAUCCUACCUUUAUUCGACACUUUAGAGAGUUUUCACUCUUUAAUUUAGCUGUAUUGGUUUUAAGCUAGUACUUUACUGUUUGGUGAGUACAUUUUGAGCGUCGUUAUUUGCUAGUAUGCUCUCAUUUUUUAAUAAGAACCGGAUGUUAAUAUUACAAUGAUCUUUGUUUUGUGUAGGGCUUGCUAUGGUGUCUUGAGAUUCGUCAUGGAGAGUGGUGCUAAGGGAUGUGAGGUGAGAAUAAAUUUCAGUAUUCUCUAUUUGUUUUUUUCGCAUACUUUCUUUUUCUCUAAACACAAUUGUUUUACUAUCAGGUGAUUGUGAGUGGAAAGCUUCGUGCAGCACGUGCCAAGUCCAUGAAAUUCAAGGACGGUUACAUGGUUUCCUCUGGUCAACCAACCAAGGAUUACAUCGACUCUGCAGUGAGACAUGUGCUGCUUAGGCAGGUUAGAGUUUCUUUUGAGUUACUUGGUUUCACCUAUAAACUGGCAAGCAAUGUCUAAUUCUAGUCUUUGGCUAAACUUUAAAAUGUGCAGGGUGUUCUUGGAAUCAAGGUGAAGGUCAUGCUUGACUGGGACCCUAAGGGAAUAAAUGGACCCAAGACACCAUUGCCUGAUGUUGUCAUCAUCCAUGCUCCCAAGGAGGAAGAUGUCAACUCUGCACCUGCUCAGGUUGCUGCUCCGGCUGCUCUUGUACCGGAAGCUCCCCUCACAGCCGUGGAUUACCCUGAG